AAACUGUUUGUAGCCAUGCCAACCUCAGAACAAGAUUUAGAACCUACACAAAAGAAAUGAGAGAGAUAAGUAUGAGAAAAAUAGAGAAGAGAAUCAAUUCGUUCAUUUUUUUUUGUUAACAUUAUUUGUGUGUGUAUUUGGGUGAUAAAAGAUUUGGAUUUGUACCAUAGAGAAGUAGUAUAUGGAUUUUUGGCGAAGCAUGAGUUGGUUCCUAAGCCAAGGGUUGUUGGAAUUGUGUUGGAGUAAACCCCAAUCUUUUACAAAGUCCCAAUACAAUUGGUAAACUGUAGCUACACUUGACAUAGCCACCACAAGGCAGAGCCAGCCAAUGCUCCUCUCCUUCUCGUAAGCUACUUUGGUUCCAGCGGCUAACAUCGCUGACACGUACUUCCCUAGGUUCACUAGGUGGCUCGUUUCACCUUCAUCAAACCACCUUCUUGCACACUGUUUCAGAAUCCUAUCAUCAGUAUUUUCUCCUAACUUGGGAGAAAAGAAAUAGAAACUUGUGUAAGAAGGAAUGAUUUUUAGUAUAAUAUACCUGCAUUGCUCUCCAGUAGUAUGGUAGGAAGGAAACUGCAUAAGCGAGAUCUCUGUAGUAUUUGACUCUCAUACAAUAUCCAUAGUCCUGCGUUGCGUAGCUACCAGUAAUAUAGUAGCAGGCGAUGUAUUCUAGGUUCCUUAACAUUGGUACCUGCAAGAUACAAGAUUAAAUCCAUUGUAAAGACCAUAUUUUUCAUAACUCUGUUUUGGUCUAUUGAAAUGUGAUUUAAGUUAUUACCUGGCUACAAAGUUGAUCAGCCAUGAAGAAAUCGAGCAUCAUGACUUUGUAAAGAGGUGAAAAAACUAUGUUUCUAAUGACCGUUAUAAGCCGGUAACGGCUCGAUUUAUAGAAAAUGUUCAAGGGACAAAUCAGUAUUAACAAGAAGGCCUGCAAAAAACAAUUUAAACAGAGUUAGGUUACAAAUUUACAAACGAAAAAAAACAACACAUGAUGAAGAGUGACUAAUGUUUGUUAAAUACCAGUAAUAGAAGGCCAGGGAUCACUUGAACUUGUCUAAAGGAGUGACCUUUUGCAAGAAGUGAUAGAUGAACAAACAUGACCCCGGCUAUUGCCGACAUUGAAGCAGUACAUAUCAAGAAAACAUCUCUGUACUUGAGCUCAUUUUGGGAACCAAGUUCGAAGAUGAAACUAUAAUUUAUCCUCGCUUUUCGCCAGAAAAAUAUGUUGCAACCGUAUAAGAAUAAAUGUAGAAACAAGAGCCCAAACAUGCUGCAGAAACAUAUGAAACAAGAUAAACUAGCAUUAGCUUCUAUUGGUUAAAUUAGUAUAGCUUCUGCUGUUUAACCAAGAUUUUAAUUUGAUCACUCGCCUAAGUACAGGAUAUGCAGUUUCCAUGUAGAAAGUGUUCUCAGAGUGUUGUCUAUACAUUCCAGUAAGAUGAGCCACAAUGAUGUAGCCAGCAAGAAGCGCAACAAAGCAACCAGUGAAAAGACCUGAAGUUUUUUUUAAGAUCAAACAAGAUUAGAUUUUUAUUACAAUCUCCAAAAGAUUCUUUAGCAGACAAGAUAAUGAUAUGCAACAGAGAGUAUAACACAACGUGACUCUCUUAGUCUUCCACCCAAAACACAAAAGAUUUAUAAAGGUUACAUUGUGGAAUCCUAAUGUGUAUGUGUGUGAUGGGUCCAAAGUCCUUUUUUAUUUUUUAUUUUUUUGUUAGUCUGAAAACAUAUUUUGUGUUGGCAAGUGCUAAUAAAAAUGUCACAACAUCAACAGGUAAAUAUUUUCAUAAGUAUAAAGCUAAAAGCAAAAUCUCACCAAUGAAGAAGGUGACAGAGUGAGACUCUUUACGGUGGUGCGGUUUCAGAUAUUUCAUAGCCUUUCUACGAUUUUCUCCAGCGAAGUGCUUGAUGAACCAUCCCUCAACUUCAUCAGAUAGAUUUAUCACCUGUUAUGUCCCAAGACAAUAAUGACAAAACUAUUUGGUAACUUUUUUUCAUAUUCCAUAAACCAAAAUAAAGUGGACAAGACAAGAGUGUAUGGUGUCGAUUCUCCGCUUACACUAACUUUAGGACACAGUAGAUUUUUUUUUAGUUACCUUUUCUGAACUGUUGAAGUAAGAACUUUCCACAACUCUGAGAUAUAUUGGAAGGAUUUGUUUUCCAGUUACCUAAAACAUAAGAGGGUUUGGUCUUAAAUUUUAAAAAGAAAGUUGAAAGAAUCAUGUUGAAUUGCUCUGAUUCAAGGCUUACCUUAUCGAACUUUUUGAGAAUGUUCAUGAAGGCUAACAUGUUCAAGUUUCUGUAAGUUUUGAGAUAAUUCAACCCUUUGAAGAGUUCUGUCAAAGCUCCUUUUAUCAUCUUCUCUGCGUGGCUUAGCUUUUUCUUGCUGAUUUGUAGCUUAUUUCCUCCAUCUUGACCGUAUUUUUUCGAUGAAGAUUGGUUUAUCAAGUAACUGAUAGCUGAGAAUGUACGAGAAGGAUUGGUAAGUGGUAUCUUUAUCUUAACAUUCUUCCCCUGACAGCUGAAAACCCGACCAGUAACCGUUGUCAGCUUCGAGUCCUCGUUGAUGGUUUUGAUCGGUUCUUCUGAUCUCGGAGACUCCAAUGCAUCUGCUCCAUUAUCCUCCAAACCCUCUAAGCAAGAUUCAUCAACUUGCAUUUGCUCUGUUCUGUUCUUAACAGAGUCUUCCUCUGCAUCCGAAAACAGGGGAAAUUAGUUAAACCAAUUGUUAGAAACCAUAUAGCUAACCAGGGCCUUUUAUUAUUGUUACCGCAAGAGAUGGUGCAUGAUAUGGAAUCGUCUUCUUUUGAUUCUUGAGUAGACUCUCCAUUAGCAUGUUUUUGUUUGAAAGCAUCUUUGAGCUCAAUGAGUAUCUCCAUUUGCUUCUUCAGACACUCCCCUCUCUCCAAGAACUCUUUCUCCUUUGUCUUGUAGAACUGAUUCACUUUGUUAAGCUGCGUGUCUAGACAAGCGAAGAACUCUUUUGCAGCAUCAGUAUCAUCAGCAAUCUUCUCCAGAAGUUCCGUCUCAUACACGUCAUUGUUACUUCCAGAAGAAGCAAGUUUCUUAUGAACCUGUUCAAAAAGCAUCAAAGUCAUUACUACAAACACCCCCACGAUGAGUUGAUAAACAAUAAGUCGCAAAGGUUAUAGUAUUAGUACAUGGAUGGCACGAGAUCGUUCACGCUCCUUGUUACCGAAAAGCGAAAGCUUUCCUAAAGAGGACUUAAUGGUUUUAAUGAGAGAAGUUUCUGAGUGCUUCUUCUCAACUCCAUUGUUCAACACAUGGAUUUUCUUGAGGUCUUUCUUCAGCUGUGAGUAAUCGACGAAGGCGUCUUUCCAUUCUGGAACGAGCUGCCCUUCGAAUUGCUUUGUGAACUUCACCAUAGCUUCUUCUCUUUUUUUAAGUCCGUAAACUCAAAAGAAGAAAUGAAGAAGAGAGUGUUUGUUUUGUGAGUGUAGGCCAAGAGAGGAAGCUGAGAUUUGUUUUAUAGUGACCAAAGAAAAGGCAAAGAAAGAAAAAAAAAAAAGAAGAAGAAUAUAUUUGACUGGCUUGCUUGCUUCUACUGAUGAUGCCUCACAAAGCACAUUCUCAAAUAUCCUUCUUGAAACCCAACUUCAUGUACUAAUUUUUAUCCUAUGCUUCUUCCACUUGUAUGCUUUUUAGGGAGGUAAACCUUGUCUAGUGUGGGACCCUCUGAUUCUCGCCGGAAUAUAUUCACCGAUCCUCCUCCGGCCGCCGAGCUUCAAAUGCCUCUUCUCACCACUCAGUUUCAUCCAAGAGUGAAGCUUGUACAAUGAAACUAUAUAAGCCAAAGAGGGUUAAUUUAGAUAUUGUCAAUGAAAGACCAGAAAUAGUAAGUAGUUUGUAAUAUGGUUUAAUAUUUUUGUGUGGGGUAAAAAAAAAGAUAGCUGAAAUGGACCAAAGACAAAGAGAUUAGGUGCGGAGAGGCACAAAAAAAGGUCUACACGGAUUGGACCAGCUCGAUUUCCACUACAUCUUUUUACGCAAGAUAAUGAAAAUUUUUGGAAACAUAUAAAUCUUAAAGAAUCAAACUAAAGGAAGUGAAGAACCACCAAUCAAAUUUUUGAUUUCAUAGUUUCAUAUUUACAUUUGCAGAUGCUGCCAAACCCAUGUUAUAGCAGUCAAGCAGUAGUAUAAGUUAUAUAAAGCCAAUCAGAACAUGGAUUAGUGUUCUUUGAAAUCUACUUCCAGAAAUACAAAAAAAAAAAGAGAGUAAAAAAUACAAUGCAAUCAUUCUCUUUUCAUAAUUAUCACGCUUUUCUUUUUGUCUAGAGCUAAUUUUGUAGUGGCGACGAUAUGUCACAGCAUUAAUUAGAAUAGUAACUACAAAUAAUCGAAUUGUAUCAGUAUACUGUUUUGUUUGUUUGAUUAUAACAUCUCAAACUUGGUAUUUUUUUAGGUCAAAUUAAACAACUAUAGUUAUGUUUUUUUUUUUACAAAUAAACCUACCUAAUGUAAAGCCAUUUAUCACCAUAUAAUGUUAUUUUGUGUUAUUUUCUAUUGUAGUUAUUAUGAAAUGAUUCUUUAAUAUGUUUUAAGGGUCUCACUAGUUUCUAUUUACAUGAGUUUAAACAAAAAAUCGGAGACAAUAUAUAAUAUAUAAGCGACAAGUUCUUACUUCACUAGCUAUAAGCUUUAUAACAUUGUAGAUAACAUGUAAUAGAUCUUAUUAAAUUGACGAAUUAAAAAUAAUAGUAUGAGCUAAUACAAAUAUCAUGAGACUUGUACAAAUUAAGGGAACAAACAAUUCCAUUUGAUGUGUAUUUCUUUUCCAUUUUUGACGACACAUUGUAAACUAAUAGAUGCAACACUUUCAUGGAAUAAUCCUAAAUAGUGUUUUUUUUUGUCUUGCUGGUUUUAGUAAAAACGUUUAUGAUAUUGUUCUGCCUCAUAUAUUAAUUAGGGAAGAAAAUUAUACAAAGCACAGGAUGCUCAAUGAAGCUUUAUGCACGCGGUUGAAGUACGUUUUGAGCAGCAGCCAUAUAUAUGGAUGGAUGGCAUUGAAUCAAUGUGCACAAUAUAUAUUCUAUUCGUAUGUACUUAUACUUAAUUACUACUAAUAUAUGUUGUAGAUAAGAAAGAUAGAAAAAUUGAAUAAUGUAUGCUUGGUCUAGAAGAUGUCUGGAUAAUGAACUUAAUACAUAUACUUCAGUACUACUAAUGCCCUCUUAAGGCUCUUUACCUUUGCCCAAUUGGUUCUUUAGUUGAUAAGAGAGACAAAGGGGUCAAUAAAAGGAAAAUACAAACGAAGCCAACAUAUGGCGACCUUCCAAUUACGGAAAGUCCAUAUUUCAUGGAACUUAUUAACUUCUUCUUCUUUUUCUUUUCUAUUUUUUUUUAAAUUUUUUUUAAAGGUAACAUUUUAGUUUAAAUUGACAAAAUAUAUAGUAUGAUUUACUAAAGUAAAGAUGCCAUUUUGUUAAGUAUUGUUUUGCCCCAGUUCAAAAAAAGUCGAAAAAAAAAAUUAGUUUAUUGAUUUGUUCGACAACUUUAUAACAGAUUGAUGAUUUUUUUUAAUUUUUAAAAAAUAUUGUAACAUUAGAAUAUUUUAUAACAUGUCAGAUUGGCGCUCUCAUAUUGGAUUAAUACAAUAGUCCGGUUAUAUAAAACAAAUUCCAAUUUGGUUUUUAAAACGUUGCCUAAAAUGUGUAGUCCUAUUCCCUUAACAUGGCAGGUUGGGGACCAGAAUUGGAAACUUUAAUUGAUAUGUAAACAAAUAUUUCCAUGAGAAAAAAAGGAACACAAAAGAAAUUUUUAAUAAAAGAACAACAAUUCAUAGACUAGAAAUGGUUUAAUAUGAUAAUUUUUAUUUAAAAAAAAAAAAAACCAAAUGAGACAAGAAGAAGAUGAUGGUCUGAAUCGAACCGCAUUUAUUUGUGUCUAACGUGCUUAUCAUAGCUAUCUACCACUUCGGAGACAUCGGUUCCACAUUUUUGUUUAGCUUCACACAAAUAAUUUAUUAGCAACACAUAUUAUACUUUAAUUUCUUGUUCUUUUUUCUUUACUUUACAUAUGACACAAUUCUUAUUUAAAAUAAAAUUGUUAGAAUUUGACGAAUAGUAUACUAUAAACUCUUCUCUUUUUCAUUUUGUUUCCUAUUUUAUAUGUUUGUUAUGUGCGGACCAAUCUCAAUUCUUUUUCAUCGGUCUUCCAGAUGAAUAUAUAAAAUUAUACUUUCUUCGUCCAAACAAAAAUAAAAUGAUAAUAAACCAUAUCCAACUUCAAAUUUGUGUGAAAGUUAGUCCACUGUUUCUUCUCCAAAGUUUCCCAAGUCCCACAUUACAACCACUCAAUUUCUGGCUUUUUCAAUUAUUCGUGUAAUUUUACAUGAAGAUUGGACACUAGGAAAACGUACCUAUUGUGAUUAUAUCAUUCCAACUCCAAAAUAUUAAAAAUUACACCGUAUUAAUAUUUUUCUUUGCACGACCAUCUUUGUACUUAGUCCUUAGUUAGUAGUUACCUUGACCAUUUGAGCCUUACCGCUCCAUACUAUUGUUUGGAUAUGCGACCCAUGAUACCACUUUGUAACGACACUUUUCCAUGGGUCUCAUGUGUUUUUCGUCGUCACACUCCAAUGAUCCAUUCAAUGUUCGGGAAAAUUCGUAAGAGUUUGUGAUUUGGCCUAUAGAUCACUAGGAGAUAUUUUGUCUCAUUUUUCCCUCAUUCGCUUAAGAGAAUCCGACCAAAUUUUAGGUUUUGUCGAAAAGGAGAUUGGUAUAUGUUGUAGUGGUGACAAAUUAAUGAAUCUAGGAGAUAGAACAGUAGGUUAACAGUUUAUCCUAAAAAGAAAAAUAAUAAUAAUAAUAAGUUAAAUUAAAUCAGAAAAUUCUAAAUCGUGUGAGAAUUUAAUUUGUAGCUAAACCUAGCUAAUAAAAUCCAUUUUGUAAGAAUAAGAUACCAACCUUUAGUAGUACACUCUCUUUGAUGUCGUAAGAAAAAUAUAGGGCCGCCAACUCGAUCUAGACUAUAUAGAGAAUAUACCCGUACGUUGAGUCUCUCUAUAUAUUAUAUUCUCCUUGAUCUUCAAUUCUCAUUUCUUUUAACACACUAUGUACGAGCUAGUUCAGUUAGUACAUGAUCAGAGUUUCUCUACUUUGUUGAUGCGAUUUAACCAUCAAAGUAAUAUAUUUGUUAACUUUAUAAAGUUUACCUUUAAAAUUCUAUUUCAAAAUAUUUAGACGAAAAUUGAUAUUGUAAGAAAAAUAUAUUGAGCCAAUUUCAUAUCCACACAUCGAAAAAUUUUGUCGAAAAAAAGAAAAUCGUCAAAAAAUUAUAUUUUCAACCAAAAAGGCUUAAGGCAUAUGCCCUUUAAUUUGGCCUUUGCACACAGUAUUUAUUGAAGUCUUAAAGUAUAUAUACUAUUUAGCUAGCCACCUUCAUGAAAGUACGUGUAUGUCGCAGAGUCCUUUAUUUUAACUUUUGCCAACGUGGAAAUAUACUCUGCAAGAUUGAAUUGUUUUACAUUUCAAAAGAGUAAACAACGAUGGCUAGCUAACUUACUUAGUAUAUGUUGAGCAUAUGCUAUCAAUUUAGGCAGCGAUGGAUUAAUGAAUUAGUCUGCCUCCGCAUGUGUCUGGAUUCGGAUUCUUGCAUGCUUAUGUGUUUAGAAUCAAAUUUAUCUUCGAAUCGUUGAGAAGAGAAUAUAUAUAGAGAGACACACACACACACGAUCCUCCCAGAGAAAAAGGUUGUUUUGGAGGUAUUUUAUGAUUGUGAUGUAUUUCUACUUGAACUAAUUCCAUGUGCUUGGACAUUGUUCAAGAUACGAUUCAUUAUGUCAUAUGCAUAUGUAUUGUUCAUAAAGUCCUCAUAUGUUUUAUCUCUGCCAAUUAUUAUAUAUGUUUAGUAUUUAAAUUUUAAAAAUUUGUAUUAGUUUAUGUAACGUGAUCAAAGUUAAAUGGAAUAUAAUGGGAAGCUGCAUGGCUAUUGUGAUCUAACCUAGAGAAAGAUGUUGUUAGUUUAAAUAUUGUAAUUGAAAGAUGUGAAUCUAUGUAACUUUAGGGAAGUUUGAUAUUAUUCUCUUUAGAAGAUUUUAGAACUAAGAAUUUUCAUUUGAUCCGGGGUUGAUUAGUGUAAUAUUUUAAUCUGAAUCUUAAUUAGUUGUACGUCUGUUUCAAAUUACUUAGAAAAGAGGUAUAUCCUUAUGAACUACUACACUUUAGUCUUUAAUCGAAGCAACACUUGGCGCAAUUAAAUUUUAUCGAGAGAAUCUCAAAUGUUAUUUAAAAGAAAGUCCACAUAGCAUAUACUAAAAUUUUAUUAAAUUAUUAUUAAAACUCGGCAACUAUUCAUAAUCAUACUAAAUUUAUUAAUGUUAUUUUAUUUUUGUUAUUUUAUCAAAAAAGUGGGCAUGUUUCAAAUGUCUUAUAGAUUUAGCAAAUGAAUUUUUAUGAAACAAAUCUAUUGUUUUUCAAUUUAAUUAGGUGGAAAGAAUUAAAAAAAUGGAUCAUAUGUGUUUCUCCGAAUGUUCUUGAUUACAAAGACAUGUCAUGAAUCUAAUUUUGCUAAAGGACAAGAAGAAAUCAGUUAUUAAUUUUCUUUAAGAAAUAUCUUAAAACAUUUUAUAAGGGAUCGGGAAUAUGAAUAUAUACUUUUUUUUUCAUCUUAUCUUGUAUAAUUUAUUUGGUUUUAGAAUACUAUGAGAAGAUUAUGCCUUAUCUUCUUAGUAUAAUGCCUAGGAUAAUUCUGUUGUAAAACCUUUUUGUACUUCUAAUUUCAUUCAUAUAUGUUUCUUUUUGUUUGUUUCUCAUUAAACAUUAUACUAUCCACAUAAAUACAAUAAUUUGCCUCCAAUCACAUACAAUAACAUCAUUCAUGGAAGAAAAGUCCUUUUUUCUUUGGUAAAGUGGAAGAAAAGUCCUUUUACUACAAUUAUAGUAUUCCAUUUUAUCACAAAUUAAACAUAGUCGUAAAAUAAAUGUCCAAUGCAUAGAAACGUUUGACAGCUUUUACAUCCAUCGUAAAACUAAAAUGCAGUGGAUUAGAGAUACUACCUUUAAGUAAUAUAGAACUGUCGCAAUUAACAAUAUAUUACAUAAUUAGAAUUUACAAAGUGGUCUGCACCUACGAUGAAUGUCUUUUUCAUGAGUUAAUUUUUGUAUUUUCUGAUGCAUAUGUUUUUGGAUUCUAGUACUAAUAACUAGAUUUGAUAAUAUUUUGUAAACUGUUACUCAUUGGGUUUGAGCUCCAUCCUAGUUAAAACAUUUAACUCGUUGAAAUGACCAAUAAAAAAAAAGUUUUCCAAAGGCAAAAAUGAUGAACCAGUAACCAACAAAAUUGGGUUCAACAUUUUCAACUAAAGCUUUUAAUAAACUAACUAUAUACAUCUUUUCUAGCUUAAAUUUUUUAACUUUUAAGGGAAAAGAUAUUGAUGUAAAAGAUGUUUGAAAGCUAAUUUAUCACUUCUAAUAAAAAGAAAGCCUAAUGAAUUAAUCAGUUCUAAUUAAUUUUUAAAUAUUUUUAUUUUUUGUUUAUAAAAAUGUUUUCUAUAACGUCUUUGUUAUGGUUAAUUUUGACAGUUGGCUAUAAAUGUCUUAAGAAAACCUAUAUAAGAAGAUACGCCUUUGUACAUUAUAAGAUGAAUCAUGCACACUUGACCACACACAAAAAAAAAAUGAAAUAAUAUUCUAAGGAAUAUGCUCUUCGGGUAUGCACUCAUGCCUAAUACUACUGUCUUUAUAAAUUGAGAUAUGUAAAAAGGCUACAUACAUACAGUGUUUUGAGAAAGAAACUUAAUAGUAAAAAGCAAUUGAAACUAGAAGUUGAAAUCAUAGAAGACUAAAGUUACUUUAAACCCAUAUUUUGAUCCCUCAACCUUCGACCACAAGUUGGUAGUGGGUUUUAGACAUGAAAAGAUGUUUUUAAACCCAUAUUUUCCUUAAACAAUUAAGAGUAUAGUUAGUUUACUAAUCAAUAAUUAUACAAGUUGUACUUAAAACAUCUUUGUAACGACAGUAGACCAAAAAAGGAAAAGAAAAAAGAAUUGUUUAGUGAUGGAUUUUUAUAUCUUGUUUUAUUUCUUAAUAUAUAGUAUAAUUAGUUAUAUGAAAUGUUGAUAUAAAUUUGAUUUAUGAUGUAGUAUAUGAUACUUUUUGAGUCAUAGUAGUUAAUAGCAAACUAACUAUCUUGUGGAUAUCUAGUGGAUAUCUUGUAGAUCACGGAACCAAGACAAGUGUUGUGGCAUUUUAACCAGUGUUUCUCAUUCCUGCAGCGAUACCAUUGAUUGUGAUAAGCAAAGCAUCCCUAAGCUUAUUGUUAUCUUCAUCACGUCUUAGCCUCUUAAGAACUUCAACUUGUAACAUGUUCAUUGCGUUGAGAUACGGAAGUCUACUCUCAAUGAGUUUCUUCAAGCUCUUAUUGUUCUCCAAAAGUUUCUCAUGGCCACUUAUCACAAGAACGUACUUCUCAGUAGUUAAAAGUUCCUUUCUUAGCUCAGUGCCAAGUCCUCUCCUCUUCUCAGAAACAAGUUGUUCAUCGUAGUGUUUGGUUAUUGGGAUGUCUGCUUUAGCUAACACCAUCUCUAUAAGCUCAAUGGUGGACUGAAAAAAUGGCCAUUCUUUAUACAUUUCUUGAAGAUCAUUCGCGUGACCCUUCUCAGAGACUCCUUUUAAGCCAGCCCCUACACCAAGCCAAGCUGGAAGAACAAACCUUGUUUGAGUCCAAGCAAAGACCCAAGGGAUAGCUCGGAGAUGUCCUAUGCCAGUAGAGCUCUUUCUACGCGUUGGUCGGCUUCCUAUAUUGAGGAAACCGAGUUCCGCUUGUGGUGUUGCCUCUUGAAAAUAAGAUAGGAACUCAGGGUUUUCAUACACUGUGCUUCUAUAGUGUUGACAACUUAUUUUGGAGAUUUCUUCCAUUAGGUUUCUCCAUUUUUCCUCUCGAGGUGGCUGAGGAGGCUUUAAGGUAGCGAGUAAAACCGCGGUUGUGUAUAUCUCUAGUUGCCUAACAGCAGUUUGUGGUAUCCCAAACUUAGCUUGAACCAUCUCACCUUGCUCAGUUGAACGCAAAGAGCCCUGGUCAAACCAUUUCAAUCAUUAUUUAUCUAGUAAUAGCAUUAGUACAAACCAAACCAAUAUAAUGAUCUAUCAAAAAAGUUGAAAACUGACCAUUACAGAGCCCGGCGGUUGGGAUUGUAUAGCAAGAUAGGUCGGACCACCACCACGACCAAUGCUUCCUCCUCGUCCAUGGAACAAUGUGAUCUUGAUUCCAUAUUCAUUGCAAGCAGCCACAACAUUUUCUUGAGCUUUAUAGAGUUCCCAUGCUGCUGUAAAACGUCCAGCAUCUUUUCCUGAAUCAGAGUAUCCAACCAUCACCUGCAAAGUAACUUUAAAUAUCGUUAUAAGUUCUUGGAAGCUCUCUUUAAAGUUAAAAUGUUUGUGGUUUACGCGUAAUGUACCUCUUGGUGACUGUUGUGGUUCUUUUGGACGUGUUCUCUGUACCAAUCGAUUGAGAGCAAUUUUCUGAUGGAAGGACCAGCAGCUCUUAAAUCAUUCACCGUUUCAAAAAGAGGUACCACUCGCAGCCUAUCCAAAUAAAUAGAUGUUACUAAGAGAUUUUAAGGCUACUCAAUUUGUUACUUGCUUAUAAAGUUACUGCUAAUAACUAAGUAUAGAACAGUGUAAUAUUUUGGUGUAGAUUUGAACUCACGUUACACCGGGGCAUGGUUUUUUAUGUUCGCUAGUCACAGCAAGUCGAGCAUCUUUUUGCAACAGCUCCACAGCGAGGACAUCACUUGCCUGAAAGUAACAAUACAAAUCAGUCAUGAUUGUGUUUGUUGAUCAAAAUUUUCAAAAAUUGUCCAUAUGGAUAACUAGCUACAUUUUAAUUUGUAGAAACCAUACGUUUGAAGCCAUAGAUAUAACAUAAGCUCCAAGUGAUUCACUUCCAAGUUCAGCAGCGACUCGGAAUGUGUCCAAAACUUCUUUGACGUCAGGACCAACCUAGAUAAAUAAAAAACAGAUAAGUAAAUAAAAAUUAAAAAGUGGUAGAAACAAAACUUGAGAUGACUUUCAUAUUGUUCUUCCUUGAAUAUACGUAAGAGAGAAAUUUCAUUCUGACCUCAAUACAUGGAGGAACAAGAGGUCGUUUCCCUUUUAGUUCUCUAGUCAAAAAAUCUAAUUUUUUCUCUUCAUCCCAUUCACUAUAAGUACCCAUACCCAAGUAUGUUGUAACUGCAUCCAAAGCUUCAGAAUGUCUUGCAGCUUCCUAGUACAUUGAAUGACAAAUAAAGAUUAGUGAUAAAAUGUAUCAUUAAAUCAUGCCCAGUUGGAAAAAGAAAAUUACCUGACGUAAGUCGAGUUUCACCAAAACCAUUCCAAAGGUAGCAACUCUACGGAUCAGGUCAGCGAGUCGUCCAUCAGCUAGUACACUAGCACCAGAAGAUUGCUGAAAAAAAAUGAAUGAUGUUAUAUUAUACUAAAGAUCACAUGAUUUUAUAGAGAAGCCAUAUAUUUUCACAUAGAGUUAAGAUUGUUACCAGAGAUUCAUAGCAGAGGAGCAAUGGUUCAAGAAGUUGAUCUGAUGUUUCAUAGGAAUUUAAAGGGUCAUAUUCACAAGGAAGACCCUCAAUUAGGAGUUCAAGAAGUCUUCUUGUCUUCACAAGCUAUGGUCACAAAUCAUUAUAUUUGAAAAUCAAUUAGUGCAUAUAUAAUAUUCAUCAAAAAAUGGUUCAUAUUAGACAUUAUAUUGUUUUAAUUUCAUCCAAACCCUUAGGAUCUUUACCUUAUCUUUUACAUCUCCAAGAACAAUACGAUAAGGAGCACUCCCAGCUCGUUUAAGUGGAGGUGGCUCUAGUAGCUUUUGGAAACUAGUCUUCCCAACCUGAGAUUCCGCAAAUAGUUUCCUUUGGAGAAGAAGUUGAGAAGUAGAUGAGAAAGAACCUCGGGAGGUAAGUCCGGUCUGCGAACCAUUGUCAGCUUUCUCCGAGUCGAUUUUUGAUAAGCCUUGGCUACUCUGCUUCUAUAUUAACAAAAAUGAUUAGAAAACAAAAUAUAUCAAAAAACUUGUUUUUCAAGAAUGGAGCAAAACUUUUCAAGAAUGGAGAGCAUGCUUAUGUAAGCUUGAUUAAAAGCUUUUCUUUACCUGAAGAUUGGGUGGCAUAUAAUCUGUCGUAGCAGCAAUUUCAAAUUUCGUAUGUUGUGAUUCACCAAAUUCUGCAAUACGUUGGGAUAGAAAGAAAAAAACAUGCAUGAAAAUAUGUAAAUGUUCGAAUAAAUUAUUCUUUUUAAUCUAAGAAAGAGUUAUUUUACCAAUGCAUGAAGGAAGGUGAGCUCUAGCUGGAAGCUGUGAUGGCAGAGAUGAUGAACUUUGUUGGUUUAAGUAAUUUGAUUGGCCUCUAUCAGAAUCUUGUUCAGAACUUUCUGAAGGGAGAAAGCAUCAAAGUAUAAGAUUUAAAUUAAAAAGAAACUAUAUGAAUGUAAAAAUAAAGAUGUUAUAGAAAUUGAAGCAUGUUUGUACCUUUUUCAAGAAUUUCAUCUGCUAAUCUUGAAAACCUGUCACUACAUCGAUCCGUAGACAAUUCGAAUCUUAAGCUAUCAACCUCUCUUAUGUACAUAUCGAUAGCCAUCCACCUAGACAAGAGAGAUACUUCUUUCGUAACCUGGACAAAAUGAUAUGACAACAUUUAAAUGUGUUAAAGUCUUAAAGAUAAGUUCCCUUCAUGGAAAAGUAAAUGUUAAGAAGCUCAUAUUACAAGUGAGAUGUGAACUAGAGAGUAAUAUAUAAUGACCAUGAACGUAAAAUAUAAAAAAAAGUCUUACCUUGGCCGUGACAUUUGGGUUUCCAUCUCUAUCACCUCCCAUCCAAGAACCAAAUUUUAUAGGAGUGCAUGUUAGUGGAAGUGGCUUCCCUGUGAACUAAAACAAGAACAUAGAAAAUAUCAAUAUUGUCUUAAGGUAAAUUAACUUUACUAUUUAUUCAGAUUUUUUUCCAACAUAUUCUAGGAUCUAAAGGUAAAAAACUAAAAAUAAUACCUUCUUUAAGGAAUUGCUGACACGACGUAGGUACUGUGGUACAGCUUUCCAGAGAGAUUGCUCAACAAUGUUUAGACCUGAUAAUUUUUUUUUUUUAAGUGUUAAUUAUGUCAAACUUCUUGUUUUCUGAAUUUACAUAUUAGAUCUAACGUACCAGCUCUAGCUUCAUCAACUGGAGUAGGUUUCUGACGUCUAAGCUCAUCAGUUUGCCAUAGUGAAGUUAUCUCCCUAACCUUUAAAGUAUAAGUAACUCUUAGAUUAUUAGUUAUUCAGCUGAGAAAUUUUAUAUGGAAGAUGUUGAUGUGGUGAGUACCAAAUCUUCAAUGAGCCUUUCGCGAUCUUCAAGGCUUAGAUCUGAUCUGGUGUUAUAUUCAAGAAGAUGCUGCAAGAAGCAUAUAAUUCAAACACUCAAGUAAAAUUUAAAAGAUAGAUACAUAAUCAUAUUGUCAAACACCAUUAGAAACUUACAGCAAUUCUAACAUGCUUGUAUUGCAAGGUUCGUCGAUUAAUUUGAGUAGGAUGAGCAGUAAGAACAAUUUCCACCUCCUAAAGCGUGACAAAAACAUUAGUAACCAAUCAUAUAUCGAACUGAGAAAAUGAUGAUUAGAUUGUGUUUAUAAAGUGAUACAAAUAUGAAGUUGCUAGACCUGUUUGCAAACAGUAUCGUAAAGCUCGUCUGGAGAAAUCCCACUUUGCAAUAGCUGGCUGAAUAUAUCAUCACAAGAUCUUGCAAGUUGUGUAACGUUAUGGACUUUAUGCAUCCUGCAAAAGAAAUGUAUAAUUUAGAAUCUACUAUACAUGCAUGUAUAAAUAUAUUUUGUUGUAAAGUGUUUGUAUCAAAACAAUGACCUGUGAUGAGUGUCUGCAAUGCCCAUCAAUUUAAGAGAAUGAGUGAACGAACGAGCCAAUGUUAAGGCUUCCUCUAGUGGCAUUUUGGAUAAUUCACUAGUCAGCUGCUUCUCCAAAAGGUUCGCAGUAUCCUCAAUACCAGCCAAACGCAAAUUUAACGCACUCUGAAACGUUACGUUUAUUACUACAAUGUGAGAUUCCUAGCAAUGAUCUACAUAUAUAGAUUCAAAAGGGAACAAGUAAUACAUGAACCAUUAGAGCUUAUUGAAAACGAAUAGGUGAAUAACAAAACCUGAGCAAGAAUCCGAAUGCGUUCGAUUUUUUCCAUGAAGGAGUUACCAACUUCCCUUUGUAACACGUCAUGGAAUAAGCUGCCGAGUAACUUGCAGUCAUCUUCGAAGCUUUGGAAUGAGAUCUCCUCGGCGAUAUCGUCUGUUGUGUCUGUCAUUGUAUGGAUGAUGAAACAGAGUGAAUGUUAUGGUUGGAGAAUGAAAAUGUUAAUUGUUAGUGAUUAAAGUUAAAUAUUUUCGAUGAUUACUAAUUAUGGUGGUCAACGUAGUAAAUUAUGGCGCUGUUAAAUUUGUGGUGCUUAAGUUCAAUAUCUCCCGUAAAAAUCUGGAGCCUCUUCUUGUUUAUUACCAAAAUUUUAAUUUUUACUCUUGGCUCUUUAAAUAACAAAAUACAACAAAAGAUUUAUAUUUUGGGACGUUAAUUAACGCAGGUAUAUAUGAUUUAAUUAAUUAUAUUGAAAAAACUUGCGAUACUAUGAAAGAAAAAAUAAACAGAGUUUUUUUUUUUAAUAAAACAAAAAUAAAUAAAAAACAAUUCUGGUAAUUUGGAAGACAUUUGUGACAAUUCGUACGACACAAAAACUAAACGUGGUGACCAAAGUUUGUGUUACGAACAAACUAGUUGGAUGGAGGUGGAGCAUCUAGCUGUUUCGCUGGGAGUGCAUCUUCAAACACAGGCAGAUUCUUGUAUGACUCGUAACACUUUGCAAGAGUUGGAUACGGUUCCUGUAGAAAUCCAUACAAAAUGAAAAAAAAAUGAUUAAAAUACUUUGAUAACAGAAAAACUAUUACAUGUAACAAAAAUUUAAUGAAAAUGUUAGUCUUCUUUAAAUUAUUUUCUUUUGUUUACCACAUCAAUUUGGAAUUUGAUCACUGCUGCAUGGAUUUGGGUUGCUAGAAAAAGAUCAGCCUUCACAAAAAGAAUCAAAAGAGAUUAACAUUUUCUUGAAUCUUGUAAGCUAGCGAGGAUUACAUAAUUUAGAGCAAAAAACAAUACCAAGUAAACUUCAUCACCAGUCGCAUAUUUUCCAGCGUAAGUCACCAACAGUUCCUCCAGAGCUAAUUAAGAUAUAACAUAUGUUUAGACAAUACGAAUGUGUUUUCAAUUACCUAAGCUAAUGACCGUAAUGUUGCAUGUUAAAGACUUCAUAGUUGAUACCUGUAUAUCCUUUUCUUAUAAUGUUAUUAACCCAAGCAAUCUUCUCCUCAGUAUUUGUCUUUUCCUCUAUAUACCUCUGUACAACCCAAAAAAAAAAAGAAAGGAUAUAUGAAUAAUGUGUAACUAGUUCUGUUUUUGCAUAAGAGGCUGUAUACCAGAAGAAAUAAUACUCGCAGCCUAAAAAAGAAAACAUUUAAAAAUUUCCUAAUAUACUACAAGAAAACAUACAAAUUAAAUCUCAACCAGAGUAUUGGUCAAAAAUUCUGCAAAAAAAAAAAAAUAUUCUUUAUUAGUUGAGUAAUAUAUGUCCGUUUUGAAAGACGUUGUAUACACUUAUUUUUUUAUUAGUUGAGUAUUAUAUAUCCGUUUUGAAAAAUUCAAAUUGUAACAUAUGUUUAAAAAAAUAUUAAUUUUUUUCUUUUAUAAUAUAAAAAUAAAAGUUGUUACCAAGACAACUGAUAGAAGAUAAAGUUGUUACAAAUAUAAACAUAUUUAGGAAACUGGGAAGAAUAAUAAGAAACAUAUGUUUGAUUAGCGUCUGAUGUGUGUAAAUGUGUAAUGCAUAUGGAAGAUUCUUAAUUGCAAGUAUGAACUCCGUAAAGGCUGUUAAUAUGGAUACACAUACACUAGAUGGUAUAUGUUAUUUAGAAGGAGCAAAAAGAAAAAAAAAAACGCCAUUUUUUCUUUCUCUUUUUCUAAUUUCCACAUCCACUACUUUAAGUAAUUAUGAAUGAAAUGAAUGUAUAUAUGGUGACUAUGUGUAUAUUUGAUAACAUGUUCAAAAUAUUCAAUACAACUCCGUUGACGGGAAAAAUAAUAUUUAAUGGUUUUGAUGUGGACAUCAUUACUAUUCUUUUCUAUAAUUCAAAAUUUCAAUAGUACUUAUAUCACAACUCACAAGAUGUAUGAAAUUCUGAAAGCAAGAUUAGCUUUUGAUUUCAUAUAUAUAUAUUAAUAAGACAUGAGAUUUCUUUUUGCUUUCUUAACCACUAUGUUUUUGUGAAGAAAGAAAAUUAGAUAUACCAUCCUUAACUAUUGUAUAUAGUGACAUCGAAAAAAGCAAAUAAAAUGUCUCAUAUUUUGUAACCAAAAAUAAUAAUUUCUUCAAAAACACCACCAUUGGUUCAACUUCAUUCUAUUGUUAAAGAAUGUUACAUAUUAUAAGAAUGUUACGUAUUAUAAGAAUGUUACAUAAAUUGUCUCAUAUAUUUCGAUGUUGUUUUUCAUUUUUAUAAGAAUGUUACAUAUUAUAAGGUAAAACUACAUGAAAGUUGUAUAAGUUAUCUCAUAUUUUCUCUCCCUUUUUCUGUUGUCAAAUUUAAAUAUGAGGCCAAAAUUUUCAUAAGUUAUGUAACUCAGAACAUAUGUUUAGAUAUUAUGCAUAUUAUUCUUCUUUUAGAUUUUUUUUUUGGAUUAUUAUAUUUUUCUAUAAUUUCGGGUUUUACCCAUCUAAUUUUUAGGGAUAGCAUAAAAAACUCCAAGAAAAAAUAGUGAGCUUAUGAUAAUGUUAGUAUAGUAUUAUAUAAAAUUAGUUGGACAUGUUGUAUAAUUACUACAUAUGAGAUGUAAUAUAUGGAACAAAUAUAUUUAAAACAAUAUUAUUUUUUCAAUAUGAAAAUAUUAGUUUUCAGUUUAUUGCUUUGUUAAUUAUGUAUUCUUAAAUUUCCAUUAUUUUUAAUACUAAAUACCUUAUAAAUUUAGUACAAUGCACAUAUUGUUUUGAUAUGAAAAUUAUACACUUACUCAUUGGCCCUGAGUGCAAAGAAUUAAUAUCCAAUUUAACUAAUGGGCCUAGUCUUCAUCUAAAUCCAGCCCACUAACAUUUUUAACAGCCUUGAGAAAAACUUUUACAGCCAAAACAAAAAAAAUUGAAUCGACGACACAAAGUAAAAAAAAACUCUCUGUAUCGAUCUUUGCUGAAGAAAAAAAUCCCCUUUUCAACCUAGGGUUUCUGAGAGAAGACACUAAUCCAGUAAAGUUGUUGCUGAAAAUUGAGGAGGAAGAUGACGUCGCAUCUUGAUUCUCUUCGGUGCAAGGUAAUUUUCUUCGUUUGUGGUUUGAUUUGCUUGUGGGUCGGAGACGUUGAGCAUAUGGAAAGUGGAGUUGUUGUGAGAAUUGUCUGGGGUUGUUGUAGACUUUGAGCAUGUUGUUUUUGGUUUGAUUUGCUUGUGAAUCUGAGACUUUGAGCAUAUGAGAAGUGGUGUGAGACUUGUUUGGGGUUGUUGUAGACUUUGAGCAUAUUGUUUGUUGUUUGAUUUGCUUGUGAAUCUGAGACUUUGAGCAUAUGAGAAGUGGUGUGAGACUUGUGUGGGGUUGUUGUAGACUUUGAGCAUGUUGUUUGUGGUUUGAUUUGCUUGUGGGUUUGAGACUUUGAGCAUAUGGGAAGUGGGGUUGUUUUUAGAAUUGUCUGGGGUUGUUGUAGACUUUGAGCAUGUUGUUUGUGGUUUGAUUUGCUUAUGGAUCUGAGACGUUGAGCAUAUGGGAAGUGGAGUUGUUGUGAGAAUUGUCUGGGGUUGUUGUAGACUUUGAGCAUGUUGUUUGUGGUUUUAUUUGCUUGUGGAUCUAAGACUUUGAGCAUAUGAGAAGUGGUGUGAGACUUAUCUGGGGUUGUUGUAGACUUUGAGCAUGUUGUUUGUGGUUUGAUUUGCUUGUGGGUUUGAGACUUUGAGCAUAUGGGAAGUGGAGUUGUUGUUAGAAUUGUUUGGGGUACUGUUAGAAUUGUCUAGGGUUGUUGUAGACUUUGAGCAUGUUGUUUGUGGUUUUAUUUGCUUGUGGAUCUGAGACGUUGAGCAUAUGGGAAGUGGAGUUGUUGUGAGAAUUGUUUGGGGUUGUUGUAGACUUUGAGCAUGUUGUUUGUGGUUUGAUUUGCUUGUGGGUCUGAGACUUUGAGCAUAUGGGAAGUGGAUUUGUUGUGAGAAGUGUCUGGGGUUGUUGUAGACUUUGAGCAUGUUGUUUGUGGUUUGAUUUGAUUGUGGGUCUGAGAGUUGAGCAUAUUGGAAGUGGAGUUGUUGUGAGAAGUGAGAACUGUCUGAGUUUGUUGUAGAGAAGUUAUGCGGUGUUUCCGUAAAAAUAUGGUAGCCUUUUCUUCUUUCUUUCCAAAACUUUAAAAAUAUGGGGGAAUUUCAAAAAUACCUCUUUUCCAAUAACACUUUUUAAAAAUACCCCUCUUUCUAAUUUUAUCAAAAAGUCACUACAAAAUUUGAAAUUUAUCAAAAAAAUAUGUAUAAGCUUAUAUUUAUAGACACAAAUUAUCUUUAUAUGUGUGUAAAUUUAUAAAUAUAUAUUUCAUAAAUAUAUUUUAAAACCUUUUAAAAAUCAUUUAAAAACCUUAUAAAAUUUUUGUAAACCUUUUAAAAACCUUAUAAAACCUUAUAAAUGCCGUUUAAAACCUUUUAAAACCUUAUAAAUAUUUGGAUUUAGUCACGCAGUAGUAAAGAUGAUCUUGAUGUACCUUAUCAACCUUAUCAACAAUAUAAAAGUUUAUAGUUUUUCAUAUUUGAAAAGGGGUAUUUUUGAAAAUGGAUAGAAAAGAGGGGUAUUUUUAAAGGAGUAUUUCUCAAAAAUUCUUCUUUUUCUUCUUUUUUCUUCUCUAAACAACAAAUAAUUUAAACAAAAAAAAAUUAUAUUUUGGGCCGUAAUUAUAAAGAAAAAGCUAAGCAUGAUAGGCAAGUUAAUGCAUGUAUCUAUAUAUUAUUCAAUUAAAAUAGAUUAAAAAAAAGUGGUCUGCUAAUUUGAUAAAAAAAAAAUAAACAGAGUUUUUUUAUUAAAAAAAAGAAGAAAUUGUCUGAUAAUUUGGAAGGUAUUGUGACAAUUCGUACGUCAAAAAGAUUAAACGUGGUAUAAGGUGACCAAAGUUUGUGUUUCGAAUAAACUAGUUGGAUGGAGCUGGAGCAUCUAGCUGUUUCGCUGGGAGUGCAUCUUCAAACACAUGCAGAUUCUUGUAUGACUCGUAACACUUUGCAAGAGUUGGAUACGGUUCCUGUAGAAAUCCAUACAAAUUAUUAAAAAUUAUAUUUAUAACAACAAACUGUUACAUGUAACAAAAAUUUCAAUGAAAAAGUUAGCCUUCAUUAGUUAUUUUCUUUUGUUUACCACAUCAAUUUGGAAUUUGAUCACUGCUGCAUGGAUUUGGGUUGCUAGAAAAAGAUCAGCCUUCACAAAAAGAAUCAAAAGAGAUUAACAUUUUCUCGAAUCUUGAAAGAGAUGAUAAAAUAAUGUAGAGCAAAAAAAAAAUUACCAAGUAAAUUUCAUCACCAGUCGCAUAUUUUCCAGCGCAAUUCACCAACAGUUUCUCCAGAGCUAAUUAAGAUAUAACAUAUGUUUAGCAAUACGAAUGUGUUCUCAAUUACCUAAGCUAAUGACAGUAAUGUUGCAUGUUAAAGACUUCAUAGUUGAUACCUGUAUAUCCUUUUCUUAUAGCGUUAUUAACCCAAGCAAUCUUCUCCUCAGCAUUUGUCUUUUCCUCUAUAUACCUCUGUACAACCCAAAAACAAAAAAAAAGGAUAUAUGAAUAAUGUGUAACUAGUUCUGUUUUUGCAUCUAAGAAAUUUCAAAAUCUAACUGAUGUUCUUACAAUAACAGCUAGGUUUUGAAGAGGUUGUAUACCAGAGGAAAUUAUACUAGUAGCCUGAAAAAAAUAAAAACAAUUACUUCUCGCAAUAUACUACACGAAAACAUAUCAAAUUCCAAUUAAAAUAUUAUUGGUAAAAAAUUCAUCGAAAAAAGUAUAUAUUUCUACUCUAUGGCCUAUAUAGAAGAUACCUGGUAAUUUAAAACUCGUUUAUGGAGGUCAUGAGGUAACAAAGGUGGCUCUGGAUACUUCUCAUCAAGAUACUGUCGAUAAAAAAAAAACUGAGUUUCAAGAAACUUUUGCUUUUGAAUCCACAAAACAUAUAAAUAAAUGUUUUACUGACCAUUAUAAUGGCAAAAGAAUCAGAUAUCACAACAUCUCCAUCCACAAGCACUGGUACAGUACCCAUUGGAUUGAUCUUCUGGAAAUCUUGGGGAUCAAUUAAAACAUAGAAAACAAUUUUUUUAUUAUUCAAAAAAAAAAAACAAUAAUAAUAACAAAGAAACUUUUAUGUGCUAAUUAUAUAUUCGAUAGAAGUCUGAGAGUUUUGUUCAAGUUUUGGUUAUGUAUGAAUAGAUAUUUUUUGCAAGUGAAAUUUGAAUACAACGGGAAAUUUGCACCAAUUUAUAUCAAAAAUAAAUUACAUCUUUCAAAUUAUAUAUCACAAAUAUAUAUGUACAGAAAGAAUAAGUCUAACAGUUGUGACUUUGUGCCAAACAGAAGACCCCAUUUCGAAAUUCACAUGUGCGAUUAAUAACGCUAAACACAUAUCCAUAAUAUCAUUACGAAAUACAGCUAACGAUGCUAAACACAUGCACUAGUUGAACAAGUUUUUCGAGAUCUGAACAAAUAAACUAAUUUAAUAUAGCAACUAGCAAGAAAAACUUGAAUCUACGCACCUGGAUUGAAUUGAUCUCCUUUGAGCAAAUUCACUGCUAUAUACUCAUACUCAAUUCCUAAAAACAAUGAAAUCCAAAAACUCAAAAUAAAAAUUAUUAGAAGGGAAACAAUUAUCAAAAGCAGAAAAAAAACCUUUUAAAGUGAGGGCUAAUCGCACCCUAUGACCACACGAGCUUCUCCAGUAGGAAUAAAGUUUCAGCUUCUCCAUCUUAAGUCCAUCGGAGUAUGCCUGGAAAAAAAAAAUCACCGAAGAAAAAACCCCAAAAAACAAGAAAGAACUUGAGUUGAGACGAUGAAGUGUUAAUAUCAACUUAUCAUCACCAAUGGUGGUUACAAGAACUAGAUUAGAAAGAGGUUUAAACCAUGAUAUGCUUUCUUGGGUCUUUGCAGAGUCUUGUGGUUUGGUUUUUUCAGAUUUGUAGAAGAGGGAAGUGAAGAAUUGAAUAUGUUGAGUCAAUCAAUGUCUACUAAUAUAAAAGGCAAAAAUGGUCGUUUUGUUUAUUUUUCCUUUCCUGACUUGAAACAUCGUCCACGUACGUAAAUAUGGUCAAACAAUAAUAAUAUGUGAGAUUGUAGGAUGAUAAAAAUAUAGAGGUAGCCCCAUCAACCUAACAAAUUAAUUAUUCAGUAAAUUUUUCUAAUUACAUUUAAGGUAAGUAAUUUCAAAUUAAUAUAUUUUUUCAAGUUAACACAUAGUGUCCUUUGGAGAUAAUAAUAGUAUCAAUUGACUAUUUUAAUUAACAGUAGUUUAAGAUUUUUUUUUGUCAACCAUUAGUAUAAGCUUAAGAUGCGAUAACCAUAGUUAGAUUGUAAUAAUAUAAUUGGAUUACGUUAAAUAAAUAUAUAACCAUAUGAAUCAAAAAAAUUAUGAUGGAAAACACGAUAAUAUAUAAUAAAUUGACUUGAUUAUGAUUAAAAAAUAAAGACAAAAUGUAAACUAUGAUAAACUGAUGCGAAAAUUCUAAAAUACUUGUCAAAAACGAUUUGAAGUAAAUAUAUAUUGUAAGAGAAAUUUUUACUUUUUUUUUUUUUAACACUUACUUUUUUUUUAAAGGCAAAUUUUUGGAUAAUCAUUUACUACUAACAGAUUACGAUUAAAAAAAAAAAAGUCUAAAAUGGGAAAGUAGCAAAAAUACUUAUGUAAGCCAAUCAUAAAGACACAUCACACAUUUGUGCUAUAAACAAAAUAAAUGCUGAAUCAAUACGACGCCGUUCGAUCAAAAUAAGUCAACAAAACCCAAAAACACGACACGAAAGGGUUUCACAGUGUUGGACAGACAAUAAUGGCGACAGGAGAAGCGAUACCAAGAGUCGCCGUCGUAGUUUACAUUCUCAAAGAAAACUCAAUCUUAUUAGGUCGCCGACGUUCCUCAGUCGGAAACUCCACCUUCGCUCUUCCCGGCGGCCACCUCGAAUUCGGUCUCUCUCACUCUCUUUUUGAUUUCUCCCAAAUCUUGAUUACAUAGUUGAAGCUAAUCUUUGCUCUUAUAAGCAGGUGAGAGCUUUGAAGAGUGUGCAGCUAGAGAAGUAAUGGAGGAAACUGGUCUAAAGAUUGAGAAGAUGAAGCUUCUGACUGUUUCAAACAAUGUCUUCAAAGAAGCACCGAAGCCAUCGCACUACGUCACUGUUUCGAUGAGUGCGGUGCUUGUGGAUUCGAGUCAAGAACCGAAGAAUAUGGAACCGGAGAAGAGUGAAGGAUGGGAUUGGUAUGAUUGGGAGAAUCUACCAACGCCUCUGUUUUGGCCACUUGAGAAAUUGUUUGGAAGUGGAUUCAAUCCUUUCACUCAUCAUGGUUGUGGUGGUAGUGGAAACUGAGAUAGAGAGAUCUUGUAUGAAUGAAUGAGUAAAGUUAUUGAUUUGGUAUUGAAUAAAAAGGGCAUUUGGUCUAGUGGUAUGAUUCUCGCUUAGGGUGCGAGAGGUCCCGAGUUCAAUUCUCGGAAUGCCCCCUCUCUCUCUUUUCCUUUUACGACUUUGUAGUUAUAAUAUGUUUGAUUUUUAAUACCAUGGUGUAUGAGAGAUCGACGAGUGAAACAUACAGUACUUAUAACCUUCUAAAUAGAAUUACUAACUGAUUUUUUGCAAUAUAAGUUUUAACUAGUUUUGACCUCGUACCACGGGAAAGAAGUAUACAGUUUUGUGGAAAUAAAAAAAACAAGGUUUGUGGACUUGUAGUAUUAUAAUUAAACAAUAAUUUUACUAAAUAAAAUGAUCGAAAAGUAAUAUUGUAUUUUAAUAUAGUUAUUUGUAGUAUAGGAAAUUCAGAUAAAUAUUUUGUAUCAAUUUAACAGAAUUGGUUUAGCUUCACAGGUACAAUGUGAAGGAUCAACUAAAAAUGUUAAAAUGUAAAUUUAGUUUAGCCUUGUUAAGAGGAAGCAUGAAUUAGAGCAACAGUGGCACUAAAACUACUCAAUACGUGGGAUACAAAAUCUAUACAAAACAAAAAACAAAAACUUAGAGAUUCAAAUCCAACUCCGUUAUAAAAACAAAGAAAUUUGCAUCAUUAAUAAAAAUAAGUAAUAGAAUCACCAUCUUAGGAUUUGGUCUGAUUUUUACAUAGUCUCUUAGUGGAAGUAAUAUAUCUUCCUUCAUAGAUGUCAUAACUAUAUAUAAUGUCAAGACAAAAUCCUCCAAGAUUGUUCAUGGAUCACCAUUUCUUCCGUAGUGUUUUUUACUACUUUUUUUUUGUGUGAAAAAUCUAAAGCCAAAUUGAAGUCGUUUAGCAUUUUGAAAUUACAUUAACAAUGGCUUUAAACUAAAAAUAAUGGAGAUCGUGGGAUGUGAGAAUAUGGGGAAGUGGAACCAAAAAAAUUGUGGAGGAGCAGUUGCAAUGCAAAUCCACUAUUUUUUUUUGUAUUUUUUUGCUGUUUUUCUUGUUCAAUUACUUUUGUGUUUGCUGAUGUGUCACAAUUCUAUUCGUAUAGUGAUUUGUGCUUUAUUUACUUUUUGGUAGUCGUGAUUUGUGCUUUAUAACAUAAAAGAUUUGUUGCUCAUAUAAGUUAAAUUGCUAGACGUUUUCAAUGUAAUGCUACUAUUUGAGAAACUAUAUUUCAAUACGUAUUGGAAAUAUAAGCGGAAAUAUGGUUAAAAGAUGUAUAUUUAACAUUUACAAUCGAUAAAAGAGUUAGUGUUGUAACUUGUAAUAUAUUAAUAGCUCUAUAAAUUCUAAAUAAAAGAUUUUUUUUUUUUUUUAACAUCUUCUAAAUAAAAGAUUAUAUAAUACUUCAAGAAGUUUACGAGUUGUAUGUCCAUUAUUUCACUUUGAUGAUUAAUAUAUUCACAUUUUAAUAUAUUUAUCAAUCUCUGAUCUAAUAGUAUAUUUUAAUAAAAAUAUUCUUAAGGUUGAUCAAAUAUGUUGGUUUCAUGCGUACGUGAAUUUUGAUAAACUCAUUAAAUUAUAGAAAUGAUAAGUUGCAAUUUGUUAUGACAUUGUCCGAAGGUUUUACUCUCCGGCGUGAUGAAUGGUAUAUGUAGGCAUGUCAAUUAGGGCUAAAGCCCGCGGGCUAGUUUGGUCCGACCCUGAAAAACAUCGGGAUCGGGCUUAAAUAUAUAUGUCCAGAAAAAAUCGGGCCUUUUGGGCUAAGCCCAUUCGGGCUAAAGGGUUUUUUGGGCUUAGCCCGGUCGGGGUCGGGCCGGUCCGAAAAGCCCUUAUACAAAUAUAUUUUGAAUUUUUUGAAUAUUUUAGUUUGAUUAAAAGAUUUGAUUAACGUUAUAGUUUUCAUAUUUACUUACUAGUCUUACUUAUUACUUUUAAAAUCUUUAUACAAAGCUAAAACUAAAUAUAUAUAAGUAUCAUGAUUUUGAAAUCAUCAAAAUUUCUAUUAAAUUUUGACUCUAUCUUAUAAUUUAAAGUAUUUUAGUUCCAUGUUUUAUUGGGUUAAAGUGUAAAUAAUUUAUUUGGCUUUUAUUUUUUUCUCUUAAAUUAAGUUAGUUUUAUUGAAUAUUGAUAAGUUAUUUAAAAUUUGAUGCAUUAUUUUUAUAGUAGACCUUUAAAUAUAGUUUUGAAAAAACUAUUAUGAACUUAGAAAUUGAUUUUUUUUAUCGGUAAAUAAAGCCCAAAAAAGCCCGAAAAACCAUGUAGCCCUGUUAGGGCCGGGCCGGGCUUUGAAAUAUAGGCUCGGAAUUUUUUCGGGCCGGGCCGGGCCGGGCUCACAUAUAUGAGGGCUUUACGAGUUUCGGGCCGGGCCGGGCCGGGCUAGCCCGAUUGACAUGCCUAGGUAUAUGUUUAAAUUUUAAUUAGUAAACUAUAUUCUCUUUUUGGCAAAAAGUAUAUGUGUGUAUUUUUUGUAAACAAAUAGAAGUUCCUUAGUAUAAUUAUGCUAUACAUGUAUAUAAAUAUAUUAAUGAUAUGUAUAUACACUUUAUUCACAAAUAACAUGCACUGAAAUUGCAUCAACCUUGAUAGCUAUAGAAUAAUAUAACUUUGGAAGUAGAAGACUAUUUUCUUGAAUCCACAACUCUAAGAGCGACGACCAAAACUCGAAUUGAUUAUCUUACUGAAACUUAUAUGCCGGCUUUUCAACUUGAGAUAAAACAUAAUAGCAUUUCAGAGUAUCUAAAAGACGACGAAGAGGUUGUGAGGAAAUGCAUUUUCUUAGUGGUUAAUCAUUUCAAGAGGCAUUCCAAAGCUCCUUCAUCAGUUGUAUGAAUGUUGUUUACAACUUUCAAAAUUCGCUAAAGAGCUUGAAAAGUGUGGUCAUUGAUAGAUCCUUCUCACAUAUGCUCCGCAAACACCAAAACCAUCAUGGAUGACAUUGUUUUUUUAUGAUCGGAAUCAAGCACUUGCACUUGCGACCUAUUUCACUGACAAGUUACCUUAGUAAACAUGAGGUGACUAAUAUUGUAGUCGGUAAAUCUUUGUUUUGUUGUAGACUAAACACAUGUACUAGUUGAACAAGUCUUUUGAGAAUUGAAAAAUACACCAAUUUGAAAUAGCAACUAUCAAGUGAAUCUUGAAUCUACGCACCUAGAUUGAACUGAUCUCCCUUGAUCAAAUUCACUAAUAUAUACUCAUAUUCAAUCCCUAAAAAAAUCAAACAAGAGAUCCAAAAAUAAAUUCAAAUACAAAUAGAUAGAAAGAGAAAUUAAACAAUUUUUUAAAAGCAAAACAAAAACUUUUUAAAAUGAAGGCUAAAUCGCACCAAUGGACAAUGGUGAUUACAAGAACUAGUUUAGAAAGAGAUUUAAACCAUGAUAUAUUUUCUUGGCCAGAGUCUUGUGGUUUGAUUAUUCAGAUUGUAGAUUAACAAGGGCAUUUGGUCUAGUGGUAUGAUUCUCGCUUAGGGUGCGAGAGGUCCCGAGUUCAAUUCUCGGAAUGCCCCUCUCUCUCUCUCUUCUCCUUUUUACUGUAUUUUUUGGUCUCUGUUUUUCCUAUCAAGUGGUCCUUGUUACGGAUAUGACAUAGUUAAAGAACAUGACAAGAUUAAGACUAACAUAUGUUUGAUGUGUGAGGGAUAUGGAAUAAUCUUAAUCAGAAGUAUAUAUAAACUCAAAAGAAGAGUAACAAAGCUUUCAGGAACUUUACAUGACGUCAAGCAUAUACUUAAGUCCAUAAACAUAGAUUAGAACAAAUACAUAUAAGCAAUUACAUUAUUUUAGUUAAUAUUAAAUUUAAUUAGAAAAUAUACUUAAACGUGUGAUUGUAAUUAACCUGCUUAUAAAACAUCAUAAAAUAUGAUAAUAAAAAAAUACAUGAAUACGAUUGUAAUAUUGUAAAUUCGUUUGUAUAAUUGUUCAUUAACUAAUUUGGUCAUUAAUAUAAAUAUAUAGUGCAGCAAGAUAUUUGUGUAAACCAGUCUUAACACAUUUAGGCCAAUAAAAGAAUUAGUUCAUUAAUUUCAAUCUCUUUUACGGAAUAAACUUCAUAUGGUUUUGAGGAGGUUCUUGAUAAGAUAUACUUUUGAUGACUAGUCCCUUAAAAUAGUUUCACUAGACAUGACAAGAUUAAGACUAAGUACUAACACAUGUUUGAUUAGCUUAUGGUGUGCGAGACCUAUGGAAAUAUGAAGUACAUAUAAAUUUGAAAGAAGGCAAAGAAAUCUUAAUCCAUUUUCUUGAUCUUUAUAUUGCCAUCAUGACCUUAAACAUAUAUUAAGUCCUUAAACAUAUAUUAAAAAGGAACAAAUUCAAAUUUAAGUAUACAUAAAUCGUAUGCAUAUACAAAGAGUAUAACCUAUGUUGAUCUAAUCUACAAAACAAAACCACAAAUAAAUAAAUAAAAUACAAAGAAUUAAGGAAAUCAACUCAAUGAGGAAGAGAGUCAACAAAAGAGUUGUGUCUCUUAGAAGGAGCAGAAGGAGGAAUGGGAACGCCUUUAGGUAAGUAACCCAAAAUAUGGCUGUAUUUAAUAACCCUUAAGCUCUUUCCAUUCUUGAUCGUCAUCUCCCUCAUGGCUCCAAUUCUCGCGGCGGCUGUCAAAGAACUACUUGCCAUCAGAAACAGAACAAGACAGAGCAGAACCAUCAUCGUACGACACGAAGCCAUUUGGUAAUCUAUCUUUUUCCUAAUUUUCACUUCCACUUCUUGAAGUAAUGAAUGAAAUGAAUAAUGUGUAUGUAUGGUGUGACUAUGUGUAUAUUUAUAACAUGUUUGUGUGUCUGUGUGGAUUUGAUUGGAAAUAAGUGUGGCGGAAAUGAGGGGGAAGUCGGGGAAUGUCAAGAGAGGAGUGUAGCCUACGCUAAUGAGAGACUUUGAAUUUUCUGUAUUAUCAUUUUUAUAAAUUCAAAGGUUGAAGUUUUCUCAUUGUUUUUAGUCGCCGCCUUCGUCUAUACGUACGUACGUCAUGAAUAUGAAAUGGGAAUCUGGUUUGAUGGGACUGUCGUGUUUUCAAUAUUUUCAUAUGUAUGUAUAAACUCCGUUGACGCGAGAAAUACUUAAUGGUUUUGAUUAUGGACAUCGUCACUAGUCUUUUGUUUUCUUUUGUAUAAUUCAAACUUUCAACAGUACUUAUAUAUAUCACAAGAUUAUGACUAGUAAAGCAAGAUUAGCUCUCGAAUUCAUAUCAGACAAGAGAGCUUUCGUACGUACGUAUAUAUAGUAAACAAGAUUAGAAUUAGAUAAUAAAACAUGUCGUAGGCUAAUCAUGAUACAAGAAAUUUACACAUGAAAGAUACUGAAAAUUCAUGCACAGGGCACGUAAAAACAAAGUAUACCAACUCUAUAUCUUUUGCGUGAGAAGGUACUUCAAGAAAUUUAAAAGAAGAAAGAUGCAAGUAUGGAGGGUUGACUCAGAUACACAACAUUUGACAACUUUGACAAGUGGCUUUCCCAUGAUUCACGUUUUUGUUUAGUUUAUGCCAAUUUUGAUUUGGAUAUCCACCUGAUUUCUGAAUCUAUACGAGACUUCUUCACGGAUUACUUUUUUCCAAUAGCUAGACUUUUAUAUAUGUAUAUAUAUUAUGAAAUGCAAAAAGGUUAAAGUUUCAAAACAUACACUCCUACGUUUAGACAUGUCGCAAAAAGUCAUAUACACUUCUUUAUCUUAUAUAUACUUUGAUGGAAACACAUAUCUAUAUAUACUAAAAGCUAUAUUAUUAUUAUUAUUUAAUCUUAAGCUAUAGUAUCUAUGACUAUGUAAAUAACUUUUAGUAUGGAAAAAAAGUUUAAUACAGUAUUUAAUAUUCCUCGUAUGAAAAAAACACAUUAUGUUUCAAACAAGAGAGAUUAUAUAAUUUGGGUUCUAAAUAAUCGAAAAUACUUGCAGCUUAGUAACUUUCCAAGUUUUAGGUUAUUGAUUAUCACGGAUCCUUUGAUUCAAAACGAGGACUCUAAUAUUUACCUGCCAUCAUUCUUUGACAUUGGUUGACGAAAACCAAAAAAAACAAAAAACACUAAAAGCAUUCCCAUAGAGGCUUUUUGAGUCAGAAUCUACAACAAAAUAAAACUAAAAAUAAAUAAUAAUAACUUUAUCACAUAAAAUUUUAUUAUUACUAUUCAUUUUUCGUAAUUAUAUGUAUUUCAUCCACGCCAUUUUUUUUUCUUUCUCGUUCAAUUUUCUGAUUGUCACUUCCACUUGUUUAUAUGUGAUGAAUGAAAUGAAUCUAUGGUGACUACUGUAUGUAUAUAUUUACCACUAUGUUUAAAAUAUUCAAUACAACGUACUCCCUUAACGGGAGAAAUUUUUAAUGGAUUUAAUAUGGAGCAAUUGUCUUUUUCCCUCACAAAUUAGCAUUUUUUAAUUCCAUGUGUGGAGACCCCGGCCCUUAACUCUUUUAAAUCCCUUACCAACAAGGACAACAAAAAACAUAUAUAGCAAGAUUCAAACACAAACAAACACAAAAAUUAAAAAAAAAAUAUUAGAUUACAACGUGAUUUUGUAAUAUUCUGCCAAAAGCGUGAUUCCGUACUUUCUCGUCAAAAAAGUGAUUUUGUAAUUUUUCUGCCAACAAAAAAUUUGCUUUUCCUAUUUUUCUGUUAUCUCCCGUCAUAAAGGUUAUUAUGUAUUCGUUUUGUCAAAAACGUGGUUUUUCUAGUUUUCUUGCUAAAAAUGUGAUUUUGUAAUUUUUUUCGUCAAAAACAUGAUUCCGUAAUUUUUUCGCCAUUUUCCGCUAAAAAGUGAUUUUUGUAAUAUUCCUGUUAAAAAUAUGAUUCUGUAAUUUUUCCGCCAAAACAUGAUUUUGUACUUUACCUAUUCUUACAUCCUUAUGUUUGAAAUAUGAGAUGAAAAAUGAUUUUCAGAUUUUUCUCCAAAUCAGUUUUAACCUAAUUUUUAAUUGAUAUGGGGUGCCUAUUAUCCAUUAUGUCUAGUCCGUUUUGUCCGUGGACGAUAUUGACCUUAGACCACUAAAACCUAUAUCAUUUAUGGGUUUGUCCAUGAUCGGUUCAUAAUGAAUUGGACAUGACGAAAAUGUUGUUAGUUUUUUCCCACGAGAUUAUUGAAUCCACUGAAAAAUCGUUCACAGCCUCAUAUAUACGGGUGUAGAAUGAAGUCAAAUUGUUCGCCAUGGCUAAACACUUCGGAUCUAGAAAUCCCCAAAACGUAAAUGAAACAAACCAAGCAGUACGUGAACCCCUCCCCCAAGUUCUUUGAUAUACUUAAUGGGUUUUUUCAAUUGUGUUUUUUUAGUAUUUUUAUUAUAGAGAGAUUAAAUUGAAAAGACCACAGCUUUUGUCUUAAUAUUUAUCUGCCUUAACACUUUUACAUUGGUUCACACCAAAAGGAACAUGAUCGCUAAGGUUCUUGAUCUCAUCUCCGUUAUAACACAAAUUAGGGUUCCCCCAAACACCAAGUCUCCUUCCCAUCCUCUCAUAAAACUUCCUAGAGAAUUCCAACUCUCCGGUGAUGUUAUUUCCAUUCACGUACAGCGCGCUGAGACUAGGCAUUUCGGUUUCCAUUUGCGGAAUGAGUUUGCCUCCAAGACUGUUGUUGCUCAGACCUAAAAACCUCAGUUUCUUGAGCUCCAAGACUGAACUAGGAAUCUCCCCUGUUAAUCCUGUGUUGGAGAGAUCUAGAACCACCAAAUUCUUGAGAUGUCUCCAUUCUAUUCCUGUCAAGUCCCCGGUUAGGCGGUUAUUGGAUAGAACUAGUUCUACCAAAGAACUCAUCUCUUGGAUCUCUUUAGUCAAUCCACCUGAGAAUCUGUUGUUUCUAAGAUCCAAAAGAGUUAGAUUCUUUAAAGACUGUAGCUCUCUAGGUAACUUUCUUUCCAAGUAAUUGUUACUGAGAUCAAGUUUCAGCAGUGAACCCAAUCCUCCAAUGCUUAAAGGCAACGGCCCAGAUAAGAGGUUCCGGCUCAGAUCCAAUAUCAACAACUUGGUUAACCCAUAGACCUCUGGUAUUCUCCCUGUGAACUUGUUUCCUGACAAUACUAAGCGUCUCAGUCUUGUUAACUUGGCCAAAUUCUCCGGUAAUGGACCUGUUAACUGGUUCUCUAGCACUACCAGAGAUUGAAGGUUGGUGAGAUUAGUGAUGACAGAAGGGAGUUCACCUAUCAAUCCCAGGUUUGAUCUGAUCUCAAGUCUCUCCAAGCUUUUAGAGAGAUCCAACCACUUCUCAUCAGAGAUUGAAGCUAGAUAUCGGUUGGGUGUUGUGAAGCAGCUGUAAAAAGAGAGGGACUUGAGAUGCUUGAGCUCAAAGAGUUGUGGUCUGAUCACUGGAACCUCAGCACAAUCAAAAGAGUUGUCUUUAACAGUCCCAAAGCUUAGAGCAGUUACAUACCAAUGAUCAUCAUACAUAUCACAAGUCACACCCUGCAAAAGUUAAGAACAAAAAUAAUUAAAAUUUCUUGAAAAACAAAAGAACAUUGAAAAACUAUAUUGAAAACGUUAUGUUUAAACCAACAACAAGGAAAUGACUUUUUUCUCUGACACUCACUGGUGAAGUUUCAUGAAGUUGAGAUAUUACAAAUCAAAAUGCAUGGAACAAAAGAACUUUUACUACUCGUUGCUAGUAAAAAGUGAGUUAAGAAUUUUCAUUUAAUCUAUCUUAUGGCUUGAGAUAACAUUAUAGACAUAAACAGAUAAGUUACUUCAGCUGUUCAAUCAUUUUUGAUCGGUUUUAGAAUUCAAGAAAUUAGAAUCUUUUUUUUUUCAGUUCAAGAAUCAGAAUCUUGAAAGCUUUAACUAUCUUUUAUCAUUAGUUGCCACUUGCUAAUAUAGUUAUUUCCCAUAAUUGGUAAUAAUUUAUUGUUCUUGAAAGGAGUCAAAUGAGAUCAAAGAAGAAUGAAGAGAGAAAGGACCUGGAUAGGAGUCCAGCCACAAGGGUCAGGAUAAAGAUAAGAGCCAUUCCAAGAGUCACCGACAAAGCCUUGAAUUGUAGAGUAGAGAGCAGUUUGCUCUGUUUUCUCCAUAGGACCUCCUUCACUUUCCUCUGUUUCUGCCUUGUUCAAAUCCACCACCAAACACCACACGCAUAGUAAAAACACCAAACGUUGCUUCUUCCUGAGUCUAAGCAACUUCAUAUUGAGACACUAUAAUGAGAAGAUACAAAAGAAGAGAAAGAGAAAGAAAAGUGUUGUGUGGAUCUUCUCUGUAUUGGAAUUAUUCCUACUUGUUACAUAUGUUUCUAUCAAGGGAAAGUUAAAAAAAAAAAAGAUAAUCAAGAAUUUUGGGUGGGUGCUAAUGUUGGGAGAUGAAAACAAAGCUAUCACUACAAUGGGGUUAUUGGGACCCUUUUUGAAAACAAUGAAUGUUGGUUGAUUUGUAUACAAACUAUUUCUUGGUUUGUGUCACAAGAAAAUUUCAAGAAAACUUUAGAGGUUUCUCUGUUUCUUGUUUCUCUUUAGGGUUUGUUAUAGAAGACAUGCCAUGAAGAAGAGCACAACCAGAGAGGAAGAGAGGAAAAGCCAAAAAUCUGUUUCUCUAACUUAUGAUUACAUAUAUAGCACAGAGGCUAUAUAAGAUGACAAAACUGAAAUACUGAGUUUAAAUCCGAAAUAACAAACACUAUAUGUCUAUAUGAGAAAAAGAGUAUAAAGAAAAUGUAAAGAACAACUUUUACAUGUUCAUCUUAUUUUAUGGAUGUUUGAUCAUUGUGGAGUGAUAGGGUACAUAGCUAUGGAUUUAGACAAUGACUUAGCAUUAGCGAUUAAAAUUCAUAAAAUGGAGAAAGAAAAAGAAAAAAAAUAAACAAAUCUUUAAAAGCAAGACACAGUUACCAAAGCAGAGAUACAAUAAUGGUAAUGAAAAUGAUAAGAAGAGAGAGGUCCAACAUCUUGUGUUGAUAUUGCUAGUGAAAGCGAAAGACAGAGAAGAUCAAGUCUCUUAUAAGAGGAUCUGUUAAUUCUGCAGCCUCUCAGAUUUUUGCAUUUUCUAUUUAUGAUAAUUUUCUUUACAGAAUUUAGAUAUUUUCAUCAACUGUCCCUUUCUUCAAAAACAGUUUAUCAUAUUUCCUGAAAAAAAUGAAUAUUUUAAAAAAAAAAACUCACAAGUAGAAGCUUAAUGCGUGGCUAAAACUGAAGAAUACUUUGGAUUUAGUGAAUUAAGAGCAUUAAAAGAACUUAGAAUAUGUAUUUUAUGACUGAUUCAUAAGUCAUAAAACUUUGCCACUGAGAAAUUAAUGAGGAUGUUUCUAAUACUGGAGUGUAAUGAAGACUGAGUUUGAUGCUCCUCCUCUUGCAUGUCCUUUGUUUUGGACCACACUCUUUCAGUCUUUUGUCUUAACAUUGAAAGGUGAGGCGUAUCUACUAUCUACUCACUAUAAAUCCAUCCAAUUUAAGUUUCAAAUCUUGGUAAGAUCCUACAUAUAAGCCAUUGUGUAGUCCUUUUCUGCCUUUUACCGUUUUGUGUUUUGGGACUUCAUUUUUGGUUUGGCGAUUUUCAGGCAAACAUAACCAAAAAAAGAUGUCAGGUCCAUAAUAAUGACUUGUGUAACUUAGUUUCUUUACCUCUAAGUCUAGUUUGGUUCCUUCCUUGGAUACCAACAUUAUCUCUAUGGAGCUGGUAGUGGUAGAGUAAAAUCAAAUGUUUACAUUUUGUUAACAUGCUCAUGCCUUCCAAGAUUUACUUCCUUUUUGUUUCGGUUGCUUAGAAAAGAAAGUGAAGUUUAAAAAAAGAACCAACACAUAACAAGAUGUUGCAAAUCCUACUUGUGGGAUAGUUUUUGUCUUUUAGAGAGAAAUAAAGGAAACAUGAUCAGGUUGUGAAAAAGACCCAAAUCUUCUUUCCUAUGGAAGCAUCACCUUGGCGCUCUGUUGCUUCUCCUUCUCCUUCGUUCUCCUCUUCGAUCAUGCUGAAAUUCUCAUCAUCAUCUUCACCAUGCUCUCUUAUUUCACUGAUGCCUCCUGUUUCUAACUGUGCAUCUUCGACUGCCCUCUUUCCGGUGUUGUUAUCCUUGAACCCAGUCUCUGCUUCAACCUGUAUCAAAACUUAUGGUUCAGAAUAAAGAUAUCUUAUGAUUGACAUGCUCACAUGUUCCACUCAGAUAGAAAGAGAGAACAUCUGGACAUGCUGGAAAAGUAAGAAAGAAAGAACACCCAAUUUGAUGUUUCAGAAAAUCAUACCCUAACAAUCUCCUCAUAUGUUACCGCUUCCACUAAUACUUCAGCUUUGCCACUUUCUCUAAUCUCACCUUGUGGUAGAGUAAGAGUAUCCUUUGGACUUGCCACUGUUCUGAUAUCACCAUUGACACUUUCUUGUUUUUCUGUGGCACCUGUUGAUGCUUGUGCUUUAUCUUCUUCUGUUCCUACACUGAAAGGAUUUUCCAUACAAAUAUUAGUUUCACACGUAUUGAUUUCAUUGCAACUCAUUUUCCCAGUUUAAAAGUAGGAACUUACUUUCUAUGUCUCCUAAGAUGAUAUCGGCUUUGCCCAGGCGGUUGAGAGACUGGAACGGCUAUUUGUCUCUUCUUCCUACGUCCACCAGUUGCGACACUAUCUACACCCUCAUCGCUAUCACCAGCUGUGUGUUCACUUUCUGUGAUUCUAGAUGCAUGUUCGCGUUGUCGCUUUCUUGGAGUUUCUACAUCAGAUGGUUUUAAAUCUUUAGAAGCAGCUUUUGUUGCUUGCGAUCUUCCUCUAACAGACUUACCCCUACCUCUACCACGUCUAGGUUUUUCACUCUGUAUUUCUGAUUGCAGGGAAACUUCAGGACCUUCUUGUAUUCUACUAUCUGUAAAACUCUGUUCAGUAGCAGAUGGUUCGUGAUCAUCGCCUGACACUGUAUCCAGAUUAUCAUCACGUUGCGAGGAUUUUGGAAGCUUCACUGUUAUACCCAGAUCAGUGACUUUAUCUGUCUUCCCAAUCGGUGAUAUACUUAACAGCUUUGAAGCAAUUUUCCCAAUAAAAGAUGUUUUCCUGCUAAUUUCUGCGCUGGGAGAAAUGUUUAAAGCUUCGUCUGCUUUUAAUUUCCGUUUCCCAAAAAGUUUGUCCCCAUCUUUAACAUCAGGAAGUUGAAGAUCGGACAUAACAAAAUUUUCGGCUAUUUCUCCGCAGGAACUGCAGCUCUUAAGUUUUUCCAGAAAUACUAGGAAACGCUCCCUUGUACUGAUGAAUUCUGCUCGUUGCUCCUUCAACGAGCUUCUAAGUACAUCUAGCUCAGUGAUGUCCUUAUGCAUCUCAACUUCUUGUUCUUUCAACAGCUUCUUUUGGAUAGAAAUUUCGUCUCUUUCCUUCUCCAGAGCAAGCUUCUCGUAUUGCACUUCUUCAAUCUCCCUCUGAGCCUGCUUCUUUGUGUAAUUAAUGUUUUCAAGCUCUUCUUGGCUUCUCUUCUCAUACGUUCUCGCCCUCUCAUUAAAAUCUCUCUCACCCUCUUCUUCUUGCCUUUGCAACUCCAUGUCAAGAUUCCUUUUUUGCUUCUCAAGAUCUUCAACCAACUGAUUGGUCUUAUUUUUGGCAUUUUCAUGCAAAGCUAGUUUCUUAAUCUCCAUGUCUGCUUCAAAUGAUUCUUUCUGCAUCUUGACACCAUCCAACUCCCUCCUCAAAUCAUCCCUUGAUGUCAUCUCUUCUCUAUUUAACCUAUCCUUCUCUGAUAUUUGCAACCUUCUCAAUUUCUCUUUUUCUUCGAAAACUUCUUUUUGCUCUCUAGCUAUGUCAGCCUUCUUUUCAUCCAAAACUUCCCACUCUUUCUCAAAUCUUUCCUUAUCUUGUUUCAGUUCUUCACGUUCCUUUAAGAGCAACUUCUCCUCUUGCUCAACUCUAUCUAACUGCUGUUUCAGUUCAGACUGCAGCCUCAGAAACUCAAGUCUCUCUUCCUUUGUAAUCCUGAGACUUUCAUUUUCUUCUAGAAUCCUUGACUCCUGCUUUGUUGUCUCAGCUCCGAUCUCUUCAAUCUCAUCUUUUAGUUUACGCAAACAUUCUUUAUCUUCGAGCAAUCGUUGAUUUUCCAAAUGCAGCUUUUUCCCUUCGGCUUUAAAAGAUUUUUCAUUUUCCUUCACAGUUUUUAGCCUUGCUUCAAGAUCCUUAUCUUUCACCUUCAGUCUUUCCUCCAUUUUCUCCAAAGCUGCCUCUCUCUUCGCCAACUUCUCUUCUUUUUGGUUGAUCUCAACUUGCAGUUGCUCAAUAUCAGCUUUCUUUCCCUCAAGUUCUUCGUCAAGGGAUCUCCUCAUCUGUUCAAGCUCCAUUUCAAACUCCUGUCUUCUAGAAUCUAAAACAGUCUUCUGAUCAUCAAGGAGCUUCCCAAUCUCCAUCUGUUAAAUUUCAUCAGUGUCAUUUCUCUUUGAAGCACAGUAUUUUGGCAAUUAACAGACAGAAACGAAAGAAAAAAUAAUAACCUGGAAUAUAUUAAGUUCUGUAAGUUGUUCCAAACAAUUAUUAAUUUCGGUAGCAUCACCCCAAGAAAUGUCACCGUAACUUUAAAAUAUUCCUCUUAGUUACAUUACCCCAAGUUCUGUAUACAAAUUCUGAUUUUGUAGCUAAUAGAGGUGGGUGGGAAUGUGUGUGUAAUACAAUAUCAAAACACAAAGACACGUCUACCUUUUAAUUUUUCUAUUCAUUUACUGAAGAUUUACAAUGACCAAGAAAGAAAAGGCGGUAUAUAUUUAACAAAUAGAGAAAAGAAGUUUUAGACAAGUUGAGGCUGACCUGCUCCCUCACAAUAAGCUUCUCCUCAAAUUCAUGGAGUUCCUUCUCUUUGAUAUCAACUUUAGCCUUCACGGCUUCAAAAUCCUAAAACAGAAACCAAUUGCUAUAUAAGCAAAAAUGUACAGGAAGCAGAAAAAAUUUUGCAACUAGUAAACUCACUUUUUCCUUCUUAGAAAUGUCAUUUAGCAAAGUGUUUAUAGAUUCUUCUCUCUCCGUUAAUUCUGACUUAGCAAUAUCUGUCUUUUGCUGCAUCUCUUCAAGGAGCUUCUCUUUCUUCUUGAUAGUUCUUUCAUUUUCCAUAAUUCUUUCUUCUCUAUGGUUAAGGCUUCUUUUAGCUUCAGACAACCUAUUUUCUUCUAGUGUUAACUUCUUCUCCCAAUCCUGUAGGUCUUCUCUUUGCUUGUAAAACACUGCCUCAUGAGCUUCUCGUCUAAGAAACAUAAGCAAAAGAGAACAAUGUGAGGUCAAAUCUCCAUACCAACAAACAAGAAACAAAACUGAUGAGUAAUAAAAAGUGAUUUUUUUUCAUACUCUGUAACUAGAGAAAGAUGCUCCCUUUGGUGCACCUUUUCACGAGUCUCUACCUCCUUAAGUUUCCUUUCUAACUCAGAACUUUUUCUAUUAAUCACUGAAAGCUUUUCUUCAGCAAUAGCCCUCUCUCUAUCCACCUCUAAAGUUUUUUCCUUCAUACCCAUAACCAAAGCAUCUGCUUCAGCUAACUUUGCCUCAGAAGUAGACUUCACCUCAGAAUGUUCUUGUUGCCAAUAUUUCAAAUCCUUCUCAAGCUAAAAUACACAAACAGCAGAAACGUCUAAUAAGCAUCAAACACAAACAAAACCCACAACAGAACAGCCUGAAUUGAGAAAUAAGAUACCUCAGCAACAAAUUGCUUCUCGGCGUUCAAAGACUUCCUAAGAUUCUCUUCUCUUUUGUCAGCUUCGUUUAAAGCAAUCAAAUGUGACGUCCUUUCACGUUUGAGAAUCUCCGUAACUUCAUCAAAUGCUUGUUGAAGUUCUUCAUUUGUCGAAGUCCACUUCUUUUUCUCAAUUAGCAAAAGCCCCAUAUUAUGUUGGUAAUCAAACAGCUGACAAAAAAAAAAACAAUACUUUCUCAAUUCAAAGUUCCAAACCCAAUAUAGAACACUCCAUACAGCAAAAAAAAAAAAAAAAAAAAAAAAAAAUCCAAACUUUAUGUACCUCUUUUUCAAGCUUUAAGAUCUUCUCUAUAAGCGCAUCACGAUCUUUUCUCUCCAGUGAAGCUUCAUCAAGCAAACCAACCUCUUUGAACUUUCGCCAGUCAUCAUCCUCUCUUAGGAGCCCCCUUGGCGGAGACGGCGUCAUGAUUUCGUCGGAAAAAGCUAUCGCCUUUCCUUUCCGGUCAGUCUCCGGCCACCGAUUCCUUUGUGGAGUGAACAUUUCCUUUCAAACCCUAAAGACCCAGAUGCAUCAAUUGAAGAGGGGAAGAUGACAGAGCCCCAAUUUCACACCUUUCUAGAAAUUGAAGAAGCAAAUUGUUCAAAUUUGAAAUCUUUCUGACAACACUCCGUCGUGAAAGCAGUUAGUAAAACAGUUACAAGAAGAGACUUCUCUCCUCCGCUCUGAAACUUCACACUCUGUACUAAAUCGUCACUUUUCAACCCCAAAGUCUCUUCGGUGCUUCCACUUGCAAGUUGCAAACUAUGUGAAACAAACGUUAGCUCGUGUAAAUAUUUAUUGGGCCUAUGUGGGCUUUAAUAUUUCAUUAUCCACUUAGGAUAAUUUCUUAAUCAACUGGCCCAAUUUUUCUCUACCGAGGCUAAAGUUUUGUAUGUUUUUCGAAAACAACUCUAUAGUUUUUGAUGGUAUUUUCUGUAACGUUAGGUUAUGGAAACACAAGCAUUAUGGUUUUUGGGUUUUGGCCAUGUAAUUUUGUAAAAAGUUUAAAAUUGUAAAUAAUUUUUGGAAGUUGAUGAUUUUGUUGGACAAUGAUCAGUUAGUUGUUUCUGCUUUUUUUUUUAUUAUUCGAUUUGGCUUUUCAACAAAACAUUGUAAAAAUAUAUAUUUUCAAUGUCACACUCACACAAACCUACUAUCUGAUAGGGGUCCAUUGAAAUGAUGAACACACAACCACUACUCUACUAUAUAUUGUCUUAGUAGUACUGUGCAAUGGUGACUUUUCUUAUUUAUCAGAUAACAACUUUAUAAAACUUACCCCAAAUUCCUCUUACCUUUGCUUGUAUAAAUAUACCUUAUCGUUUUUUAUAGUUUACAGAAAAUUAUAGAUUCAGUAACUUUCUCGUUUACAAAAAAAAAAAAAUGUAUUCAGUAACUUUCUCGUUUACUCUGGAUUGUUUGGUCCCUUUUUGCAUUUAUGUAAUGUCAAUAUCAUAAAUAAAAUUUAGUUGGUGUAGAAAUCAAAAUAGGAAAAAGUCGGCAAAUCCUUAGAUUGAGAGACAGUGAAGCUUUUGCAAAAUGACAAUUUCCUUAUUUCUAUCGAAAAGACAGGCCUCAAGACAUUUUUAGACUUACCAAAUAAUGUCUUUAACGUUUUUAAUCUUUUUCUCUUUACAAAAUUACAUAUCCUUUUAUAUAUAUAUAUAUAUAUAUAUAUAUAUUAUUUGGGUGAGUUUAUCUGAUUUUCUCUAUUAAAAAGGACAUUAUAACUUGUUUUGUAUAUAAAAUUAGUCUUCUUCAUUUGUUUAUAUUACACCAUAUUGCUAUUUAUUUUUGGUACAAUAAUAAUGCAUUCUAGAAUAUCUCUGAGUUGUGUGUGACGUGCCGUUGCAGCUACUGGUUGGCUAAUCCCAAAGUCAAAGCAAUUAUUUAACCAUCCAUCAUUGUAAUCAACGACCGAUUUGUUCUAUUUGAUUUUAAAAAAUACUAAUUCUAGUAAUCAAUGUACAUAACAGUCAUUACUCUAUUCAGUAACAAUACAAACCAAAAUUUCAAUAAUAAUUAAUCAAGAUUGUCAAUAUCUUUACUCUUUAGUAAAUCAACAUAUUCACCAAUACAAUCGUCAAAAUUAUAAGAAAAAUAUAAUAAAAUGUAUUAACACCCAAAUUGUAGAAAUCUAUAUUCUCUAUUCUUUAAUUGUUUUCCCUUACUGAAAUAUAUUAAAGAGACCAAAAAAGAAAAAAAAAAGCUAGACAAAGGUAUGUUACCACACAAAUGAAACACGUGUCAUCAUCAAUGGUGCAACGGGUUCGGUCCGGAGGGAACACGGCGUUUCUCCACCCCGUAACGAGGGUCGAUCUCAUCACCGUCGUAUUGCUCUUCGGAACGAUGGUGAUGAUCAUGGCGGCGAUUGAUGAAAGGCGUGAAGUCGUAUCUUUGGGAGAGAGCUUUUCUGCUGACGACUAAUCUAAUGGUGUGGGAACGUUGAUGCUGUUGCUUCGACAUUGAAGAGGGCUCCUCCGUCGAAGCGUUUAGAUAAAGGCGGCGGGAGUUGAGGGAGUACAAGUGGUGGAGAAGGAGGAAGAAGAGAGAGAGCCAUAGAACUACGAAGAGAAUCUGAGAGAACUUCAAAGCCAUGGAAGAUAAUGAAGGGAGUUUAAGCAUAUGGGUGUGUUAAUCAAUGAGAAAGAAUAGGCCAAAAAAAAUAAGAUAUUGUCUUUUUGUGUUUAUGUAUGAUUUUGGAAAGAAGUAAACUAAUGAAAAAGCUUUGUAGGACGGUUUGGAAGAUAGUAUAUGGUAAUAAGAGCUCAGCUAUAUUUAUAUAUAUAUAUAUAUACACUUUUAUUAUAUAUGGUUGACAAAAUGUAAAGCUUAAGAGAUGUGAGAGGCAGUGGGAUUUUGUCUUUUCAACGUUGGAUGCUUUUAUCAUAUGACAUAUGUGUUUGUGCUCUAUUUUCUUUUAAAAAGUUUUCGUUAAAUUUUUGUGUGUAAACAAGUUUUGAGCAAAAGUAUGUUCGGGUUUUAUCUAGUGGUGGCUGGCCUUUCUUAACUUUGGCGGUAGUCUUCUUCUGUUUCUGUCUUCUAGGUUAAUGGUCACAUGACCGCUUUUUAACACUCACAAGAACGAGUUCGAAUCUAAAUCAAAAUUGGAAAUGAUAGAGAAGUUUUACGAUAUCACUAAGUUAUCAAAUUUUAGUAUAAGAUUUAUUAGUUUCAUAAUCUAUGUUUAUUUUACUUAGAGAAUCGGAAAACGUUGGUAACUCUAUUAUUAUGUCUUCUUUUUUUUCUAAUUUCAAUAGGUUUGACAUUAUUUUUUGGCCUUUUAAAAUAUAUUUGUUGGCAAUUUUUUUUUGUUUUUUUGCAAUUUAGUAUGUCUCUUUAAAAUAUUAUAUUAACAUUCAUCAAAAAUAAACACAUUCUUUAAAGAUGUAAACCAAAAAUAUAUAUUAAUAAACAUUAAUAAUGAAAGAGCUAGAUGACUAGAUCAUCAGAAGGAAUAUAAUCUUGAUGAUAUUAAUACCUACAUAAACAAAAUCUAUAGAUAUCAAUUAUUAUUAAUUAUUAUCAAUUUAUUUUGAAAAGCAAAACCAUAAUUAUGGAUUAUUAAAGGAAGUAAAACUAAUGCAUCGAGGUUUCUUAGAAUUCAAGGAAUGAAAAAAAAAAGAGGCAUGAUUUCAACUUAGCAAUUAUGAAAAAAAUCUUCUGAAUAAUGAAAUCUUUUCAUUACAAAGUUUUGUAAUCGAUGGUGGUAUUGUAUUUGCAGCAGAGGAUUGCAAUAAUUCAUAUCGUAUUUGUAGGUCUAAUUAUAGUCAGACGUGUGAACAGAGUAUGAUUAUAGAGUUAUCGAACAUUUUUGCCUUUACAUGUGCUAUGAAAAAUAUAUUAGAUAUUGCGUCGUGGACUUUUAAUGAUACCACGUUCCACAUUUAAACUUUUCUUUGAUAUUUUUCUGAUAAUAACGUUUUUUUUUUUCCCUUCCAUUAACGGUUGACUUUCAUUUAUUCAAUGUGUUUGACAAUUUUGUCUAUUUUGUCUUGUCGCACGUUAACGUUAUAUAUCAUAUAAAGUUUUCAUAAAUUAUUUGUUAAUUUUCUUAUAUGAAAUCGAUGGCAAUUACAAAUCUUACAAAAAGAUAUACAUUAAAAAGAAGGAUUAUACAACGUACGUAUCUUUUAGAAAUGAUGUACAAACUCGGUAGUUACCCCGUAAUACACAUGGAUUUUGGUUAUUGGAAAAUAAAUAUUUGGUUAUGGGACGAGAUUUGGAAUAUAAUGACAAAAAUAUUCAUAAUCUCUAACAAAAAUACUUCAGAAUGUUUUGAUUAAAAAAACAUGUGAAAAAUCAGAUAAUACAUAUCAUUUAAAGUGUCUGUUGCUGCACAUUCAUGUUUUUAAAUAGACUUUACCUUUUGUAUAUCAUUUUGUUUUUCUUUUCGACAUAAGAAAGGAAUUUGAUUUUUUUUAUAACGUGGAUUGUGAAUCUCUCAUAGUGAAGAAAAAAAUAUGAUGAGAUUGUAAAAUUUGAUUAAAGGUCUUCUUCCAAUGCAAGAAAGAGGUCUCGUGAGUGGAUGUUAGAACUGGUGGGUAUUGUGCAAUUCCAAGCCAGCCUUUUUAACUGUUUACAUCUUCUCUUGCACUAAUGUUGAGUGCUCCUAAUAUGAUUGCAGUACUGGUAAAAAGAACAUCAAAUUAUUUUCUUGUAUUCAAUAGUUCAGUACUGUCAUUAUUCCUUAAAAAAACAAAUGCAAACAAUAUUUAAUAUCUAUGUUAUUGAAGUCAAAUGCCAUGAACUUUCACAUGAAAAAUGUUCAACUCAAUUAGCUGUCUACAGAAAUAUGUAUUUUUUUUUAUUAAAGAUAUGAAUUUGUAUUAAAUAUAUAUGUUUAUAAUAUUUCUUUAAUAUAUUGUGAAGUAAAAGAAAGAAGAAAUAUCUAAACUUCACAUUGCGAUCAAAACAUUGCUAGGAAUUCAAAUGCUAAAGUAUGAUUAUACAUGUUACUAAUAUACUAAAUGUGUACAAUUGUAAAACUGAUGAACACAUAACACAUAACAAACCAGUGUAUCUCCCAAUAGUCUAAUUGACUUUAAACCACCGCUAAACAAAAGUUUAUUCCAUUUUCGAUGUUGUGGAAAAGAUAUAGCGAUAUCUAAUGGUGAAUAUGAAGUCUUCUUUUCGAUAAAACUUUUAGAUGUUUACUCAUGAUCUCUCAUUUUUUUUUGUCAACAAUUUUUAUGAAAACAGACUCAAACGAGUUAAGAUUGUAGGAUGUUAUUUACAUAUUUAUUCAUGAUCGUUCACAUUCAUUUCCUUAAUUACUUCAAGGUAUAUAAAACACAAUGUAUCAAAGUAAAAAAGAUAAUGCUAAAAGAGUCCAAAAUUGAAAUACAUCAAACUUGAAGACAGAUAACACGACAGUAAAAACAAAUUAAACGUAUAGUUUUUCCACAGAACUUUUAAGUUUUGUCAUAGAAAAAUUAAUAAAACUAUGAUGUUAAGUGUGUAUUUAAGAUGGAAAUUUUCAUCAUGAGUUUGUUACCAAUUUUUCCGGUUGGGUAAUAGUAAGUUUGAGAGUGUUUGACAGACAAAUGGUAGCGGUUCUUAAGUAGACAAUAAGACCGAGAUGGUGGGAUUGGUAGAGUGGCGGUGACUGUGGUCGAACUCACAUUAGUUUACCUUUCUUUGCUCAAAACAAAACCUAAACAGAUCGGUUAACAAGGCACUAAUCCUAAAAUAAGAAAAGAAAAAUGUCAAUAUAGGUAUUAAAUAUGCAUUAAGAACAAAUUGUUAAGGAUUUAACAUGGUGGAUAUUAUUAUGAAACUGUACGUCAGAUACACAAGCAGGUGAUAUGGAAUCAAUGAAUUGUCUUCUUUUUUUUUUCUUUUCUUUUUUUUUUACGUGUUGAGGUCAUCAUAUUGCUUCAAUAUGUUUGUGUUGUGUAACUUGUAAGAGUUAAAGGCAAUAAAAUUAGACAAGGCUCCGUACGAGCCUGCAGUGCAAGUCUAUGUAAUCUAGAAGCAGCUACAUUUUGCCAAAAGAUCUAUCUCUCGACAUCCAUAUCUCAUUCUUAUUUUAUUUUCUUUCCCAAAAAAAUAAAUCAAUAACAGUAGCUUUACGUUUUGUUCUCUACAUCUCUUUAGUUUAUUGCCUAUCAAAAUAAAAAAUGCAAAUAAAACUAAAUUUUGUUCCUCAAAUUUUCAAUAGUGUGCCCGUCAUGAUAAUGUAAAUUAUCAUUAAUUGUAUCCAGAAAUAUUUGAUAUAAAAGUCACUUUUUUCUUCGCACAUAUUGAUCAUUUCGGAAAUAUCCGACUAAUUCUGACAAAUCAUGUAUAUGUAUAUAAAAUUUUGAAACGAAAUAUCUUUUAACUGAGACUUCAAUUCUGUGUCUAAAAGAAAAAUCUAGUCUGGUCCCAAUCUCCCAAGUUUACUGUAAAGAAAGAGUAAAAAGGUAAAAAACACUAGUUUGAAGUUUAAACCCAUUGAAAAAUCCAUUUGUAGUAAUAGUUCAUAUAAGAGAUUUAUAAGUCUUUAAUUUUGAGCAAGGAGUUGAUUGUUAAAAAUAGUUCUAGUUGUAGGUUCCAUUUGUGGUAAUAAUCUUAUUUAUAUGAGUUUUUUAAGCAAAUAAAAAAUACAAGUCCAAAGAAUUAUCCAAAAUCUGAUUGGACAUAGCUCGAAAAACCCAUGCUUGGGGUCUGCAAAACCGAUCGACUCUACUAUAUAUGUUCUUUCUUUCUCUUUUUGAACAGACAUGGCAGAUGCACCAAAAAAAAAAAACAGGCAUGGUAAAUUCUUAGGACACUAUUACACAAUGUAGCCUCCUACUUUUUUUUAUAUCCUUCUUUAUUUCCUCUAUUCUGCACCAUAUUUUUAAAGGCUUAAUAAAGUUGAGAGUGAGGUUUACUAGCUCCUUUAACGUACAUUUGUGUUUCUUCCUCUGCUUCAUUCUUGUCAGGUCUUAGUAGAUUUCCUACUCAGCUUCCUCUACAAAACAUAUGGUUUCAGAGGUUAUAUAGAUACACCCAUGAUCAAGAUUAGGUGCUCCUGAGAGAAAGUGUAAGCAAGAAGUCCCAGAGAUUACAUUACUUUACAGGUUAGUAUCCUCCUGUUAUUCGUAGCUAGAUCUGAGAAAAGUCUCUUCUGUUUCUCUCCUCGAAUAUAUAAAAUUCUAAAGUUGAACUUGAAAUAUAAGUAAAUAACCUCAAAACAUAUGUUUCUUCUUUUAUGCUAGUAAAGACUAAACAAAGAAGAUCUAUGGACAAUUUUUCAAUAUAUGUGUACAAAUUUUUACAGUCAACACAUGUCAUAUUUUCUUCAGUUGUUAAAUGUUACAAUAUAUUGGCUUCAAAAGUUUUGACAUACGCAAAAUAUUAUUAGAACAAGAGUAAUUGCACAAGAAAAGAAAAACAAAACAAGGUUAAGAGAGGACCUAAACCGAAGAAUGACCAAGGUUACUUACUCCAAUAUUAUUUCUCGUGGUAUCUUAAAUUCUUAAUUUCUUAUAUAUGAAUCAGUUUCUCACAGUACACAUUACAUGGCAAUAGUUAGGGGUCGUUAUUAAAAAUGCUUUAUGGUGUGAUUUAUUUAGGGAUGUUCUGUUUUCUAGGUUAUGGUUUUGUAAGUUUUGAUAAAAAAAAUCCAAAUCAUAUAGAAAUACACAUUUGAUUUGGUAUAUACUCGGUUAGAAGCAACUUGGUCUGGUUUGGUAUUAAUUAGUAGAAAGGAAGUUUGCAAUAGAAAUAUAUAAAGAUUUAAUUAACUAAAAGAAUGAUUUUAAUUAAAAUGUUAUAGAUUUACAGUAUGCUUAGAUCUACUUUUGGUAUUACUUUAGAUAUACGCUUUUUCCAAAAUAAGAGUUACAGUAUACGGUUUAAAUUAGUCUUUUUCACUAAAAUCGGUUUAGUGUUAGUUUGGUUUGGUUCAAUUUCCGGCUAUGACUUUUUUAUUUACUACUGUAAAAAUAUCUAUCCAUCCUCUUCAAGUCGGUAAAUGUUCAUGAUUUGUUGGGCCUACGGGCUACGGACCCAUAUUGUAUUUCAUUUGGUUUAGUUAGUAGGCAUGUAACUUUGCGAGUAACGGAUGAUCCAUUGUUCCUCUUUUUUUUGUUUACACAUCAAUCCAUUGUCAUUUUAGACGAUGAUCCUUUGUUAUUUUGGUUUGGUUUGACAUAUGCUUUGGCAAAUCAGUAGAUGCGUGGAGUUUUUUUGCCAUGCAAUCAGGGAGAAAUCAAGGAAUCUCGUUAAUUUUUUAUAUCUUAAAGUUUAUACAUUGCUUCCUUAGCAAAAAAAGGAAUAUAUAGAUUGGUCUUCCCAUAUAGAAACAAAGCUGAUGGAUGCUUACAUUACACUGCUAAGAUACGUCGAUAGUGUUUGGUUUUUGAAUUUCGUUUGAAAGUGUUUUAUUUUCGAAGAAAUAACCUUCACUGGACGUAUGUCUGGACCCAAGUCAAGAAAGUACAAGAAAGACAAUGAUUGAGAGUUUGGCAGAAAAAUCGACAUAAUGGAAGUUGGAGUGUUCAGUCCUAAACCAAUGUUUUUUCUAUAUGUAUACUGAAAUAGUUUAUCAAAGAAGGAUUAAUCCGAAUCCAGUCUGUCACGAACAAUUAACUUACUUCAAUUCUGACCCGAAUUAAACGAUUAUUCGUUUAAGUUUCCUAGUCCAACUUGCUGGCCAGCCAUAACGUUUAUGAAGAAAUCACGCAGAUGUAUAAUCUCUACCACUUAAGUAGUUUAAGAACACUAGCCUAUAGUUAAGGCUCAGACAUAAUUAUGUGACUUAUGUCUGACUAACGAUUGUGCCAUUACAAUCUUUAUAAAAGUUUGUUUUGUGUGCUUAUAUAUGUCUUUGAAAUUUAUCAACACUAACAUAUGUAUGUAAAAGCAAUUAUUAGAACUAACUACAUAAAACAACCAACAACAGAAAUUAAUGCUAGACAAUUGGAAACUUGCUAGAAAUUAAUUAAAACCGGAAAAAAAAAUAGAACUUAUAGAUAUCCAUAUCAAUCAAGCAGUAUCCAAAGCCUCAAACAAAUUAGGCACACCAAACUAUCUAGAUCUAGUUCAUACACACAAAUGACUACAUUUAUAUAUAUAUGUGAUAGAUUUGUCUCAGUGAGGCUUUUAUGUUAAUGCAUAGAACAUAAACUUCAAAUACCUCAGAAGGAUGAAGCCUCAUGAUCAUCAGUAGCAGAGAUAAUCAUAUAGAGAAAAAGAUGAAAUAGGGUUCGUCUCCUCAUCUACUGAUGCUAUUGAAGCUGUGUUGUGUUCACUUGGUGCCACAACUCCUGGAAUUAGCAAACAUUAAUAAAGACUGCAUUAAUUAGCUAGGGUUUUAAAUUAACACAUUGUUGUUACCUGCUAUACAAUGAAGUCGUACCUCUUAUUGAGCUAAGAUUUGUGUUAGAUUCCUCGGAGUCUCCAAAGAUGGAAGAGGAGCUAGAUUCACUGGUUAGUCCAAGAAACUUCUCUAUGAUGCUCACAGAAUCCAUUUGAUACUCUACCAUGUUCACAUUAGUACUCCAUUCUUGCUCUUGAUUUUUCCCAUCUAGUACUUGUGCACCAUUGCUUAUCUUGAUCUCUCUUGUUGCUUGUUGAGGAUCUGAAAUUGUUUCCGAGGUGUCAACUAGUCCUGAUAAUCUCAUCUUCAUCUUUGUUAUGGUUCUCUCUCUGGCUCGUUUUCUAGCUCUCUCUCUCAACUCCUUCAUCUUACAAGAGCUCUCCAUCGUCUUUGUCCUUCUCUUUGAAACUUUCACUUUAAGAAUCUCAUCCUUUGCCUUUUCAUUAGCCUGGGAAUGUUCAUCAUCUUCACCUCCUUCCGAUGCAGCAACACUUUCUUUAAGUUGUUUGAUUGAAGCCUUUGAUUUGGAGAAAAGCCAUUCGAUCGUCUUGCUGGCUUUGUCGAAACCCAACAUGUCUUGAAGAUCGAAAAACCUGCGAGCAAUCUGAAGAGACAGCCUCAUCCUCCGGUCUCUAGGACCUUGAGCCGUGCAGAUCUUACUAUGCCUGUCCCUUUUCUUAGCCAUUCUUCUCUCUGAAACCUUUUCUGAUGAGGUAGUGUCCUCCUCAACGCACUUGUCAUUAUGCUUCUUUUUCUCAAGCUUCUUGCAAACUUUUCUUGGAGAUUCAACAACAUUUGCUGCUGCGUCUUGCUCCUGAAACAAGAAUUGGCUUAACAAGAAAGAUUCAUCAGCAUUUUCAAGAAAAUCUGGAGAAAAAGAAAAAGAAGGAGAAGGGAAGUGAUGGUUGGAACUAGGGCUUUGAAUGUGGGUAGUGAAAGGAGGAAGUAUGGUUGUUUGACGAGGACUGAAGGUAUCAAAGAGGACAUAGCCAUUGGUGUCUAGAGAAGGAAACAUUAGAUUGAAGAGAGAAACAGGUAAGAAAACAGAAUCUUCUUUUUCCUAUCUUCGCUUAAGCCAUUUGGUGUGUGUGCUAUAAAGGUUGAUAGCUAGAGGAAGAUGGAAAAAAUAUAUUAUAGAAAAUAUAAAGCAAUAUAUAUACAUAUAUACAGUAUAUAUCAUACAUGUAAUAAUACAUUGUAUAAGUCUCUAUCACCUCCGUAAAUAUAUUUCCAAUACUAUUUAUAUAGAAUUAUGGAGAGAUGGUAUUUAAUAUGGAAUGGUUUGGUCGUUACUAAUAUGGAUUAGUUCCUCUGGUUGAGGUUACCCUACCUUCUGCUUCAAAAGGUUGUCCACAACAAAAGGAGGGAUAAACUUACAAUGUUCACUAUUACUAAUUAAAGUAUUCAAAUUGAAUCAAUUUCUAUUUUAUCAUCUUUAAGUAAUUUUGGUAUAUAUGUAAUAGGGUUUAUGAUAUAAUUAUUGAUAUAUAUAUAUACACAUUUGACGCAGCUCAGGGAAAAGAUUAGAAGUUUAGUUUGGGAGGCCUAAUCGACUUUGUUCUAAUUACUACUUCAUUACAUAAUCAAAAGUUAGGAUGUAUACUUAAGACCGGAGAAUAGGCCAAUCUUUCAUCAAAGCUAAGUAAACUAAUUAUAGUACUAUUGAAAUUUCAAGUUAGUCUAGCUAGAAGGCUCAUCAUAUGAGCAAUUCUGUGUUCUUCUUAACUGCCACAUAUGUACUAUACAGGGUAGUUGAUGAUGCAUUAUGUAAUAAAAAAGUGCUUUAAUUUAUUGAACGAAUGAAAAAGAAAGGGCUUAGUAUAAGUGUGGUGUGGUGUGGGAUAAGGUUAAGCUGAAGGUGUGGGAGUGAUAGUGAUUAAGGGUAAUGAAAAAAGUGGUGAUAUAUAGCUAAGAGAAGAAAAGUGGGAAGAGAAAACGAAAGGGACCAAGUCUAAGGCCUAUUUGUUUAUCCCUUCACGUGGGCGUUGCUUUGUUGUUUGAUAGCAACCCCAUCUUCUUCAUUUUCUUGCUUCUGCUUUAUUGGAAGAUAAUAUUGGCAUCUUCAUAAUUUUGGCAUCUUCAUCUUAUAUAAAGAUGGAAUAUAUAUAUUUUUUUUUAUUCGUUUCUUAGAUAUUUGGAGACAUACAGUGUUUAGUAGAAGAAUUAUAAAAACUUCAUCUCAUACUGGGAUUUCGAAGGAAGAAAAACAAAAUUGUAGAACUGGUCCACGAUCGAACUAAUUAUAUUUCAUCUUUUAGGUUAUGUGUUACAAUAAUUUGGUAUAAACCAAUUUGCAUACCUUAAAGAGAUCGAGAUCGAUGUUCUUUUGAGUACUUCAUUUAAUUUGGUUAAUGAUGAAUAUGCAUAUGAGUUACUUUGGGAGGUAACAAUGCAAGUGACUUGAUUCUUGAAUAUAAUUUUUGUUAGGACUUAGAUUCCAGUUUCGAUGUUAGAAAAAAGAUUUCAAUUAGAAAAUUAAACGACAUAUAAUUUAAUUGUAAUUCACGCUCAAUUAUUCAUAAUAUCGAUGAUGCGUGAUCGGCUGAAUCACCAGUCGACAUGCAUAUUUAUUAAUUUGUUUCUUUUUUUUUGUCGACAUUUAUUAAUUUGUUUCUUAAGAUUUCUGUAUACAAAAAUUCUAAAUCGAACCUAUAGACUAUAGUUUUCUUGAUGCUUCAUGUAUGGAAGAAAAAGAAGAAGGAGAUGUGAUUGGUGGAGAGAAAAUAUAGGUAGGGAGUUAGGGCUAGGACUUAGAAGAGACAGACACAAACUGAGCCUACGAAAUUUAUAGACUUCUAUUUUAUUAAUACCUACCCCUCUCUCAUUGCUUUUCCUUUGACCACUUCUCAUCCCCAUAGAUGUCCACGUUUCAUUUCAUCAUACAAAACUAUAUAUGUUACAGAAAUAAUUUGCUAAUUAACAUUUUUGAAGCUUUUUGAAUAUGUUGAAAUAACUUUAGUAUUUUCUUGAAGAUUUGGUAUUUUUUUCAUUCUUCUUUCAUAGAUUUAGCAUAUAGUUGACAACUUGACAUAAACUUUAUUUGUGUUAUAACAUUUGUACUUCAAAUGUCACUUGGACUAAAAGAUGGAGAAAGAUUUUUGUAUGGAAAAUAUCUCGUCCCACCUAUUUAGUUUAUAUAUGAUUAACAUAGCUUUAAUAAAAUGGUGAUCAACUAAUCAUACAUUUGGUUUUCUGUUUGAUAAUUUUAAGGAAUAAGGAAAGCAUAUAUUCGAUUUUUUUAUGUUUUUUUUUUUUUGUGAUGGGCAAAAGUUGCAAAGUAGCUUUAGCUUAGACCACAAUGUUUUUAUUGUAUCAUCAGUUUGCAUCACUAUAAAUUGAGAAAGAAAGUCCCCUAAGGGAUGAGUUUCACAAAUACAAUCAUAUAUGCAUUUGUGGAUAUAAGAAUGAUAAAAUUGUAAGAGUCAGGUAUAUACAAUAUUGGACUUUCAGUUACCAAAAGUUAUCAUUAAAACCUACUUUUAUUUUCUAUAAUUUAUGUUACUCUAUUAUUGUAAUUUAUAGUUCCUCGUUUUUUAUUGAACCGCUUAAGGCACCUAGCUACAUAUGUUUUUUUCGUUUUAAAACAUAUAUACUAGAGACUAAAUUAUAUUCCAAUAACUAUAAUUCUUAUGCACGUAUGCUUAAAGGAAUAUUAUUUGAAAGAGUUAAACUCGAUCCUGAAGAGAAAAUAUAGCUGACUGUAGAGAAAUAUGUGCACAUUACAUAGUCCUAUGUCCUCUCUGUUUUUUGCCUCAUUAAAUUUUUUUUCCUCAUUUGAAUUUGCUUAGAUGAUACUUUAGUUUUAACUGUAGGAAAUUUUGAAAGCCCACAAAGGUCAUUGUCAAAGUAAAAGUGAAGGAAAAUGAGCUCAAAGUUUGUCAUCUCAGGAGCUAAUGAUGAUGAAUCCCUUUCUAUGUGAAUCUUAUAACAUGCCUAUCAUGUUAUAACACAUAUAUAGCCCUCCACCAUGUUAAUAAUUAUGGGUUAGGUAGAAAUUUCUGAUAUGAUCAGUCAACAAUAACAUAUUAACAUGUAUAUAUGUAUUAUAUGAGUUUGAACAUUUGUGAUGAUAUAUUGACCACAUUAUUUCAAACAAGUAAAUUACAUGUUUUGAGCUAUCAAUCAAAUAAAAUUUAAUUAACGAAGUUAAUGUAAACCGUAUAGUAAAAGUUAUAGAAAUUGUCGUAACAUUGGCCACGAAAACUACUUUUCAAGAAUAUAAUGUCAAAUUAACAUAUCACAAGACUACAAGAGUACUCCAGAGCCCAUACAAUAGCAUGCAUUUAUUAUGUGAGCACUGGACAAACUACAUAUUCACCGUUUGAACACAAAAAAAAAAAACACAUUCACCGAUUAGAUUUGCGGUAAAAGUCCUCCUUUGUUCAUGCAUGUGUGGGACAAACGUCACUUUCUAAUACAUUAUUAAUUUGUCAACAAAAAUACUAUUUAUUUACCAAAUAAUUUGAUUUACAUACUGGUUGUUCCUUAUGUGUGUGUAGAUUUUCAUAUUUAUGAGCUCAUUUUUGUUAGCGUCUAUAUAAAAUCCUCUUUAUAGCAAAAAAUACAUUUUUCUUUUGCAAAUCUUAGGUUAAGAUACUUUCUAAGAUCGUUUCAUUAGAGAUGAUCUAAGACGCUAUAAAAUAUAGAGUUAUAUUUAACCCACACAUAACUUUAUAAAACUAAAAACAAAUAUUAAGAUUUAUAGAGUGAUAACUAAAUCCCCAUCAUCUGCAUCGAUCAACCAACAGCACUGACCGCAUAAGGAUUGCUUUUUAACGGAAUUGAUCAACAAAGAAGUUAAUCAUUGCCGCUGGAGCAAACCAGCUCUCUCCAAUAUCUUUUGAGAAGUUUUACAACACAUGCAAUUCCCCUUCAUAAUGUGUACACCAUGUUGUUUUCAUCAAUAAUGUAAUUAAGAGAGCUAAGUCUUUUCAAUAAGUGAAACAAAAGAUAGGUCAUUCAUCAUAGUUGCAUACACCAAAAAAACAUCAUGUUCAAGCCUUUUGACUCAUUUCAUCAAACGGUAGCAGCAAGAACCUUCCCGAAAUGAUAUAUUCUCGGGACUGUAAGAACAUGAUCCAACCACUCAACUUUCCCCCAAAUUUAUUUCGCUGCAAGGGAUGGGCUGAGGAUCCCAAGUUUGUGUCAAUGUGUCAAACACCUCACAAGAAUGCUUUAAGUAUUUAGAAUCACCAUCGUUGUAGCAUCCUGCUAAAUAUAUCUUUUGAUCAAGUACGCUAGCAGUAUAUGACUGUAGCUUCACCCGCAAGCUUGGACCCUGCCGCCACGUGUGAGACCAACAAUCCAUAAUCCAGACACUAGAGGAGUUCAUUGGGUUGGAGUCGCCAAUGUCGUAAAUAUUUGAACCAACGGCCACCAGACUCAUAGAAGACGCAGGAUGAUAAUUCAGGAUUGGAACUAAAACCAAAACAUACCCUCUUAACAUAUUUUUCUUACUAGAGUCAUUGGUUAGGGUUUGAUCAGGUUUCCGACAGAGCCUGAACCAGCUAGGGUUCUUAGAUGGAUAGAACUGUAAAUUAAAGGCACAUAGAUACAAGUCUCGGUGCGGCCUAGGAGCGAUCGAAAGCUCUUGGAGACAAGGGAGAGAGUUGGAUAGUACAAUCUUGAGACACGUGCAAUGCAGCUCAAUAGCAAAUCAUAAGGAAGUGACGGAUUUGUUAUAGAUUUUGACGUCGGCGAUGGCUUCUUCUUCUUCGUAGACAUUGAUGGAAUGUGAACGAGACAAAAACGUUUUUGUGUGUUGACGGCAAAAAAAAAUACACGAAGUUUAGGGCCACAGGUUUAUUCUUAUACGUUGAAAUAUGGGCUGAGCCUUCGUAGUGGAGGCUUUUAGUUUUAUAACUGGAAACAAUGGUUGUUAAGAAAUAAAUGGGCUUUUCGACAGAUGUUAAUUUUUCUAUCUUUCAAUAUGUAAAAAUUCAAAAAUAUGUUAUUAGGGGAUUACAAUUUUCUGAGGUGAAAGAAACAGGGUUUUUUUUUUUCCGACAAUGGUAGAGCCAUAGUCCCUAUAUAUGUAUAAUUGUCUACUUAUAAUCAGUGCUUUAAAAGAAGUAAAUAUGUUAUUUUUGCCUGCGAAUUACUUUAUUAAUAACCUGGUUCAAGAACUAAAGAAAAAAAGAAGGCAUGGACCGAAGCAAUGAUGCAAAUGCAUGUGGAACGAGGCUUCGGAUUGAAGCAACGGCGAAGUCUUGAGUAUGUAUAUGAAAUGUACGAUCUGUUUCUCACACAGUCACACGCAGAAAACACACACUUUGUCAAUUUAUAUAAUUUACUAAGUCGCAGUCACAUGUAUAUGCACAUGUACAUGCAACUUCAUUAUAAGCAUGCAUGUUAACAGUUACAUUCGAUCGUGUGGUACCAAAACAAAUCAAAGUGACUGAAAAUUUCUUGAUGUUCCUUUUUCCCAUGGACCUCUAUGUCCAUUUUUUUGGGUCCAUAGUUCCAUCUUCAUAUAUGUCACGGUAGGUUUGCUAUUCUGGAAGGCUGAAUCACCACAAAUAUAUCUGUCCUAGAACAUGAGCACUAAUAUGUAAAUGACAUGUGAUUCUCGACUUAUUAGUAACUGAUUUGGAUCGAAAGCAAUAAUUUAUAUAUGUAUAGAGGGAAAUGGGGUUGUAAUGAUAACGAGAGUGACAAUGAUGAUUAUUCCUUCUCCUGGUGUGGUGUGAUAGACAUUUUUGCUAUUUUAGUAUACAUUUUCAUUUAGAGACGAAAGCACAGUAGAUAGUAAGAUUCAGUUUCACUUUCGACUCCACUUCAUUCUUUUUAUGCAUGCUUCUAUGUAACUUCUAUAAUUGUAAUACAAGGUUAGUUAUUUUUAUAUAUUAAUACAUUAGUUUCCCGGUCAACUUGAAAGUGUCGAUACUAAAUUAUAAAUUCACCUGUUUUUAAUAUUCUCUCUAUAUAUAUAUCUCAUGGUUAGAAACAUGAAAAAAAAAAUGUAUUAAGUUCUUAUGUAGUAUGAUGGUGUAAGAAAAAAAAAAUUAAUUGAUUAUUUAUACCAUCACAGUGGACUUGAUCCUUAAUUUUUUUAUAUAAGUGAUAGCAAUUUAGUUGUAGUUUCAAGGUUGAUGGGGAAAUUAAUCUUUCGAUUGUUUCAUAAUUAUCAAAGCAGAGCGUAGAAAUAACUAAAACUAAUUUAUUAAUCAACUGUGUUUAAACACAACUUGAAUAGGAUGCUAAUGACAAGGUUAAUUAACCAUGAUUGAUUAAGAAACCAUUAUUACCUAUUUUCAUAUAUAUAUAAUUUUGUCUCCUUUAGUUCUUCGUAUAAAAUUAGUUGGUCGCAUAAAAGUCUCCAGUGUCACCACUGCUUUGUCAAAAUGAUAGCAGAUAGACAGUUUGAAGUGGUUAACGACCCAAAAGAAAGAAGACAAAUUUCUUACCUUGGGGAUACAUAUAAGGGGAGAAUGUUUUGUGGGAUAUCUCUUUGACUAUCCCCAAAACAUAAUUUAGAACAUGUUAAUUAUGCAUUAUGAAGACGCACCUUUUUUAGACCAGACAUACAAAACUCAUAAUGUUUUAUCUAUGACUAAAACCGCAUAAGUUUCUUGCACUUUGCUUUGUUUCUUCCUUGUUCUCCACUAAGACUUAUUCUUCAAAUCUUAAUUAUAUUAUUGUCCUCUCUACCAAGAAGAUAAUAGACCGGUAAGAUUACGAUUAUAGUGCUGUAAGAUAUCGAUACGUGAGCCAUUCAUUGAUUUCACCAAUCAAAAAUUAUAGUAGUAGAAUUCUUGUUCUAAUUCAACUAGGACGUGUGUAUUUACAAUUUAUUUGAAAUAUAUUUAAAAUGUCUUUUUUUUUUGGACAAAAUAUUUAAAAUGUCUAAAAAGGUAAAAUAGUACAGUAUACAUUACACAAAGUCAUAAUACAAUAUAUCUACAAACACAUGCGUAUAAUGAUUGCAGAUAUGUUAAUGAUCACAUACGUUUUCCAAUAUGCUUCGAAACAUUUGUCAUCGUUACACAUUUCCGUUUAUAUAGAUUACGAUAGUUUGAUGAGCAAAUGAUAUUAGGCUUCUAAUAAUAUCAAUAUGGAAAUAAUUUUUUAUUUUUUUAUUUUUUAACAAGAGUAUGUUUAGUUGACACAAUCUGCAUUUAUAAAUUAUAUACACAUGACACAUGACACAUGAGACCUAACUAAACGUAAUCGUAAGGUAAAAGUGACGCAAUAUUUUUGAGAAAAAAUCGUCGAUUAGUGGUGAUUGAUGUGCAUAUAUGGUUUGUGGUAGUGCAACGAUUAUUUGUCAUUUGAAUAUGUUAAUCAAUAAUGUUCCUUGUAUAAUACUAUCAUUUGCAUAUAAAAUAUGGAUGUCUUAAGAAGAAAAAAAAAAAACAUAAAUGGACUCUUGAGAAGGUACGAAAGAAGAAAAAGAAUAGGGGACCAAUAGACCCAUGCGUGUGAGUAGAUACUGACCCUUUGUUCAUUUUUUUUUUCUUAGUGGAAGAAAACUAACUGAUGCACCGAAAAAAACAAGUAAAAGUGAAUAAGUCACACCAUAUCUAUCAAUGGUUCAUGUUUGAGAAUGUUAUAGAGUCUCCCAACAAACACGUCGAAUCAAGUAACAAGUCAAGUACCUAUGUUAAACCAUCUGAUUCAGAACAGACUCCUCCUUUACUAGACUCGAAUAAUCAGGUGAGUUGCCAACGUGUUUAACAUACAUGUACUGAUACACGAUUACCAUUCCCACUUAUUCGGAGACGUACGUAAAGUAAAAAAAAACAAAAUUCACAUAGACUUAAAAAGACACACAAAACAUUUUUUCAAACUUAAACGGCACAAUUAAACCAAGUCGUCUUGCUCCAGUGAUAAAAGGAAGUAAUUCCCACCACCUAAGUUCAAGUAUCAUUGGCCACAGAAGUUCGAAAUUUAACAUGGUAUCCUUCGACCCCAGAAAAUUAGUGUUUAGACCUACAAAACCUUUGAAAUCACUCUUGAGUUAUCAAAAAAAAAAAAGUACAAUAACACCAUUUUUAUUUUUAAACUACAGAUCAAAUCGAAUUUUGGUCAACAAAAAAAAAUUAUAUAUUGAAUAUGAGUUGUAUCUACAUAAGUUAAUAACAAAUUAUACCAAUUAUUAUAAGUCUCGUUAAUAGAUUUCUCUAUCAUAUUAUAUACCUCUAUGCACACCAUGCACGACUUAAUUAAUAAGGGAAAAAUACGUAUACGGUACUCGGAAACCCACUAGAUGAUAAAGAAAUUACAUCUUUUUUUUUUUUUUUUUUUGGGCAAAGAAAUUACAUCUUUUAUAUAAAGGGAUCCAAACUGUAAAUAAUAUUAUUAUUGUGUAAAACGAAACAAAAGGCACCAAAAUGUUUAUACCAAAUUGGUAAAAACUGGAGCCUCUGUAAAAUGGAAUUGUGAAAGUAAGACACAGUUAUAAAAGUGUGAUUUUUUUUUUUUUUUUUUGGGGGUCAGUAAGCAAAAAGAAAAAAUUAUGUUGUGUCUUAUGAUUUGGCCUCUUUUUUACUUUUGUUAACCAAACUUCUUACAAAGACUGCGUUUUUGUCCGCACUUUGCCGGUCAACCUCUUUAUUUACUUUGCUUUUGUAGCCUCUUUUAUGAUUUUUGCUUUUUUUUUCCAGAAAUACAUAUGGUUUUGCUAUUUUAUUGUAUAUCUUAAACCAUGUUAUACUAUUUAAAUGAAUCAAAAUUGCUAGAUAUAGAGGAUUAAAUUUUUUAUAAGAAAUUAUUUUUAUGUUUAAGUACUCAUUACCUCACUAAAUUUUAAUUAACCUAAAUAAUCCAUUUUGAUAAAUCUCCACAACUAAAUGUACUUAACCUUGGAUCAACAUAUAAAUGGAUAAUAAGAGUUCAUUUUUAUUAACGUUUGCCCUUUUUUUUUUUUGGGUCAAAUCAUUAACGUUUGACUGUGAACAUUAAUGUAUUCAUACUUUGUUCUUUUUAAUCACAACUUUCAAUAAUAAUUCUUAGGACCUCGAUAAUAAAUUCCUAGUUCACCUUGAUAAAUUGUCUUUGCUAUGUGAUUUUUUUAGCUUUAUCCUAUAUUUUCUAUAGUUUUAUGACAACUAUGAGCCAAUUCAGGGAAUAUACAGUUUACAACAAAAACGCUGUGAUUUAUGAAGGCGGUUUGGUAGAAAAGAAUAGUAGUAUCUAGUAUAAAGUGUAGUCAAUGAAAAAGUAUAAUUUCUCUAAGACUAUAUAGUACUAUGGGGAGAGAGGAGUUGAAGAAAGUAGAAGCAACGGAAGAAGAAUGUGAUUGGGAAAUUGUGCGUGCGUCUUUGAAAAAGUGACUUGAAACAUAUACCAUCAUUCCUCCUUUUCUCACUUGUUUUCCCAAAUUCUUUGCCUUAUGUGUCAUCUUCUCCUUCUUGUCGUAUUCCAUUCCUUGAAACCAAAUAUAUUGUUUCUCUUCUCCAAUCAAUCGAAAUCAACGAUUAACUUUUUGUUAAUGUAAAACUAUAUAUAGGGUAUAGUAAUUGACAUUGUUUUUAAAUAGUUUUGGAAGCAUGAAUGUAAAGAUGUGGAGUUUUUAAUACACAUAUAUCAAGCCUCUAAUGGUUUUUAAGAUGGAGUAAGUAUUAUUUUUAAGAAUAGACUCUUAAGAUUAUCUACUUUUGUCUACAACUUUGUCAUGUUAAUUUGGGUUAUAAAGUGCAUGUGUGAGAGAGAGAGAGAGUACGUUCCAAGACAAAAUGAUUAAAAGGUCUUUGGGGAAGGCCAUAAAGGAUUAGCGUGGGAAAUGAAGCUCAAGAGAUAGAGCACAAUGAAAGGUUUUUUCAUGAACAAAAUUGGCUCCCUACUCUCUCUUUCUUUUGCUAUGCACAAUUAUUCUGUUCUUUUCAGACUUUUAUUGAUGUUUUAUUUUUUGGCUUUUGAGUAUGAUUUAAACCGUCUCGGAUGUUUAAUACCAAGGUCGGUCAAACUUUAAACACUAUAAUCUACUUCAAAAGGUAUAAACUUAAUGUUCAGAGAGACUUGACAAGCUUUUCUCUACAUAUAUACAUCUCUCUUUAUUUAUGGUUAGAGAAUUCUUACGUUACAAUAUAAAAAUUGCAAAAUAAAGUUUGUUCUAUCUGAAAUUAGUGUGAACUGUGUUUUUGCCUUUGACUGUCUUGGUUAUGCAUAACAUUAUAGAGGGUUAUAUAGAGAAAAAUUUAACAUAUACUAGCUUUCCUCAUAAAUAAAAACCUAAAGAUACAUAUUUAUAAAAUACGCACACGUGCAUUGUAUUUGUAUGUAUACAUGUCAAUACAGAGAGUCGGUAUUGUGAUAUUUAAUUCAUUUAGUAAAUAAACAAAAACUUGGUAUAGAAGAAAUUGAUAGGGAAAUUACAAAAACAGUUUUUUUUUUUUUUUUUUUUUGUCAAACAACAAAAACAGUUUUAAAAGCAGAAUUUAAAUGUGAUCCGUCCGUCUUAUGGACAUGCAAAGAACUAAAGAAGUAUAGUAGAUGUGAAACUAAAUUAAGCCGACACUAGAGAGAACGAAAAAUAUUAUAAUGAAAUGAAAGUGAGAAGGAAAGCAAAAGGGCUUUU
rnacentral:lncRNA from 1 species